rnacentral:lncRNA from 1 species
UUUAUUGAUCUUUAUUUUAUAUAAUCCACAUUCUUUUCCUUAUAUUAUUGAGAAGUUUGUUACUAGUUGUUCCGAACUUCGGCCUUUCCUGACAUCAAUAUAUCAUCAUAAUUUCCUGGGGCAUGGACGGAUAUCAAUAUAUCAUCAUAGUAUCCUUCGGCCUUGUCGAACGUUAAUAUAUUAUCAUAAUCAUCCCCCGGCUUUUUUGAGUCUCAAUAUAUCAACAUAACAUCGUCCUACCUUGUUGGGUAUAAAUAUAUAAUCAUAGUAGGGGGCAAAAUUAAUAGCCUAAGUGAUCAUAUAAUCAAGCAUCAUAUUUUCAAGCAUAAAUAAUAGCAUAACUUCUCAUAUAACUUAUAUUCAUGUCUUCUAAUAUAAUUCAUGGCACAAUCGCUAAUAUCAUCAAUAGGGAUGUUUUCUGGCAUGAUUACUAACAUAUUAUCAUAGCAUGAUCAUAAUAAUUAGGAAUAUCAUGAGUAAUGACUUAUCAAUAGUAAAUUCAAUAGCUUAUCAUUAGCAUUAAAGGUAGCUUAUAAUAGCUUGAGCAAUAGCAAAUCGAUGGAAUAAAUUCAAUCGCUUAUCAUUAGCAUAAUAAGGUAGCUUACCAAUAGCUUGACUAAAACCUAAUACAUUGCAUAAUCAAAAGCUUAUUCUUAUCAUAACCAAAAGCAUAAUCAAUGACUAAGAUAGUAUCAUAGUAAAGGGCUCAUUCAAUGGAAUAUUUGGUAGCCCAAUCAGUAGCCAACAGAAUAGCAUAAUCAAUAGCUUGUCAUAAUCUCAACCAAUAAAUCAUACAUAUGGCAUAAUUGUUUACAUAUUACUUCCAACGUUAUCUAUCAUAACUAACAAAUAUCAAGGUUCCUCAAUAUUGCCUCAAAAGCGCAUUCUCUAGGAAUUUAAUGAGCGUAUAAGGGUUUCAAGAAAACUAAUCAUAAAUCUUGACUUAAGGUGAGUAAAAAGCCCACUUCUAAAUCCCUGAACUUUAUUCGAAGUCAAAUUCUACCCUCUACUAGGCUACGGUAUCUAAAUUCACUCUUAAUUGUAUAGUAAGCCACAAUUAGCCCUAUGGUAAAGAUUCUUCUCAAGAACAUAAGCUAAACAAAAUAUUAACUAAGGAAUCUUUCCUUAAUGAGUAAAUAAAUCUAAGGCAUUCUUAUUCUAAAUAUGAGAAUGAAGUUCAACUCACCUAUGACAUAAGGAAACAAGUCAAGUAUUUUAACUCAUUGGUUUAAAUUUUCCUAAACGAUCCAACUAACCCAAGUCAUUCAUUUUAUCAAUGCAAUACCUAAACCCAAUCCCAUACCUAACAUAAUAUCAUAAGAGUACUAUGAAUUAGCUCAAUCUAAAAAAGGGAUAAACCUAGCCUACGUUGACACAGAACAAAGCUCAAUAAACUGUUAAACCACCGCUAUUCCUUUUUCAGAAGCCUCCUUAAGAUGUGAAGCUAUCAUAAACACAUUCUACUCAUCAAUCGGAGAAAAAGGAUACCCAUAUUGCACCAUUGUGCUUCGACUCAAAAAUUACAUUAAAAACCCAUGUGGGUUUUACUUAAGGAAAUCACAUUUUCAAAACAGUCCCAACCUUCUUACAAGCUCAAGGAAUAAUUACCCUAAAAAUGGAUGAAAAUCCAGCUAAAUUGGUUCUAAAAUCAAGCCAUUAGUAUUUUGUGUUGUGAUUAAUAAAUCAAGAAAUUUUCCUAAGAAAAGGGUGAAUUCUUAUCUCAAAUUGAAAGAUAAUUAUGAAAAUAAAUGUUAAUCAACUACCAAGUCUCGCAAAAGUCUCAAUUUAGAGCUCUCACACUAUUUGGGAUUUUGGAUCACAAGAGAAUGAUGAAGAAUGGCCUAAAUUCAUGGAAAAGUGGUCCUUUUAUACCUAAUCUAGGUCCUAAAAGUCACUAUCGCAACCCCAAAGCUCAAGAUCGUGACACCCCUUUCCAAUCGUGGUAUCUCCUCUAUUAAGUGAGUAAAAUUGCUAUCCAAAAAGCGGUUAUUAUAGUAUAACAGCUGACAAUAAUGGAUUUGGGAUUUCAAAGUCACUGCUAAGAAUAUGGGGUUUAUUCUUAAUCUCAUAGACUCAAACAAACUAUGUAACUGUAUCAAAUUCAACAUUUUGGAUGUGAUAGUGUACUCAAAUUUUCCAUCCGAGGUUGUUUCAACCAAAUGUGGAUCCCACACCAAUGUUUCAUUAUCUUAACUUCCAUACCAAUAGGUUUAAAUGAGCUUUAAUGUCUUGGGACCCAAACAAAAGGUUUCCCUAGCCUAAAAUCGACAUUUAAGAGUUGUUGGCGUAGUUAGAGUUUGCAUAUGAGGUCAUUUUACUAAAGUUUUCACCUAGUACCCAUUUGGAACCAGCGAAACUUCUAAACGGGGAAACAACUAUAAAAACAAAAUGAACUACAUGUAACCAAGAUGUCAAUCCCAGCACAAUUGACCUGAGCCAGUUCUGGAAAAACUCUAAUGGUGAAAUUUAGUGGUAAAAUAAAAAAUAACCUAAAGGAUCAUUAUUAGACCUAUUCAAUAUUCUCUAAACUUGGUAUAAUCACUUUAGUCUAAAAGUUGGGUUCAUUAUAUAUAUGAAUAUGAAACUCUCCCUAAUAGAUUAUAUCUGGAGAUACAAACCCUUUCUAUGAAUCUCUGCAAGUCUUAAUCGAUGUAGAAACAAAUCAAGGUAGAAUAAUCCAACGAAAGAAGGAUAAUGGCUCCUAGAUGCUUCAAAGUCCCCUGUGGAUUUGAUUUGGACAUUAAUACACUAAUCUACAAGAAUUUACUCGACAUUUGGCUUGUACUUGUGAUGCAGGUAACCUUGGGCUCAUAUACUAACCAUCAUGACCCAAACUAUGAGAUUGUGCAGUUACCUACUCUACUCUUAUUUAGAUACAGGAACUUUUAACACCAACCAGUUAUAUGAAAAAAUAAGUAAAACUUGUAUAAGUAAAUAAUUAUUAUCCGAUAGAAAUCUUUUACGAUAAUAAAGACCCAACACCUAGUCUAAACAUGUACAAGAGCUUUUAUCAGAGACUAAAAAAUAAAAACACCACUUUCAUUAGAAAUAAAUGUGCAAAAGUUAAUGAUGAGUGCGCACCAUCCACAUAAGCAAAUCCUAGUGAACCUACAACACAACUUAUAUAUUGAGAAGGACGUAGAAAGAAUUGUAUCAGUACACUACACAUAAUAGUUGACAUUAUUAGGCAACUAGGGUUAGAUCACAUAACAACAUAUAUAAUUCAACAGAUAAUAUAGGAAAAACUUACACAUUAGUUAAAAGCCAUCAUUCAAUAUCAACCUUUCAUUAUUAGACAACUUCCUACUACUAUCCUAACUUGCUAACCAAUUUAAUUAGCCUCUCUUACUACUACAAAGGUAAAAACAUCAAUAACCAUUUAGUCUAUCUUAUCAACAUAAUCUAUGGUCAUAGAUGCUCAAGUAUCUAUUCAAUUAUGUACUACCCACACCUAUAUCAUGCCCGCAUGAUAACAACCAUCUAUUUUAAUCAAUGCGAUAAUUCACUAACCUUACGUUAUACUAUAUUAUCAUUCUAUCUAUACACUCUUAAAAUAAUUAUAAGUUAGCUGACAUUCAACACAUAACAAUAAACUGAUGUCCCCCAAAUUACACCUCCAAGAAAGUAUAAAGUGAUCGUCAUUCAAAUAUAAAACCCAACUAUUUUGUGAUCGAUCCUAUGAUGAAUAGGUCAAAAGUCUAUCAAGAGCUUGCUGAAAUCAUUGAAAAUUAAGUAUUUAAAAAGGAGGAUUUUGUAUCAAUGAGAGUAAUAAUAAUUCUUGUUUGAUAAUCAGUGUUGUGAUCACUAUAGAACGAACACUAGGCUUAUGUUCCUCUGGACUUCAUAAAUCCAUAAACUGUUUGGGCUUGUGAAACUAUAUCGAUGCCUUGCUUGCAUAAAUCUAAAAAGUUAUGUAUUACCAAAUAAUCUCUCAACCUUAAUUUGAGUGAAUUUCACUUAUCUUCUCAAAGUCUCAAAUUGUUACAUUACUAACCUUUAUUUUAUGAUCACAAAUUAACUAUCUACUCUAGCUCUCAAGUUAUUUAGAUGAAAGUUGAAAAAUUUAAAUUACUAUUGUGAUCUAUUUUUCCUGGUCAAUACCUCUCUCUCGAGCAAAUAUUAAAUUAAGUGAGUUUCAAAUGCUUCCAACUAUCAAGAAAGACAUCAAUACAAAGUAAAUCCCAAUACAUGCAUUAGCACUGUUCUAGAAUGACUUUGCACUUAGCCUACUUUAUCAAUACAUUAGGGUUUGCAAAAUUCUAAUAUGGAGUUUACCUACUGUUGAUUGUAAGAACAAACAUAUAAUUAUAUAUAAAAGCAUGAUGAAUAACUUACAAAAAAAAAAGAAUUAGAACCAAAAUAUCAAAUUAGUUGUAAACCCUAAAAAUCAUGAACAAUAAUUCAAGGAUUAGUAAUGUCUCUUAGAACGCAAAAUAAUAUAAAAAGAGUAUAAAGUGUGUAAAAUCAUAAUACCACAUCCAAAGGGAAUUUAUAUACGCCAAAUAAAAUCUAUCCUAAAUAGUGUAGAAAACCAGGGUCGACAUCAAUUCCUGAUUCUUAGGUUGAGUUGUGAGUACAAUCCUUGAAUCAUGCCUUGGAUGUGGAAAUAAGAGGAACAUUCACUUUUUAUAUCUUCAACUCACGAUAGCAACCUAUGUGUAGUAGGUAGACUAGUGGAAAUUUGUAACGCCUCAAAAAUGGGUCCCGAGAUGUCACACGGUGCUUAGGACCACAAGUGAUCCCAAGCUAACCUAUGAACUGGCAUACUAUUAAGCAACUGAUUAAUUAUGUAUAAAGUGACUGAGUUUACUUUUCAGAACCAUAAUAAUGAUGGAAUCUGUGAAAAUACAAUACUGAUACAAUUGUACAUUCUGAUAAAGUCUGAAAAGAGGGACUGAAAUUACAUGAUUGACUCUAACUGACGUCUAUGAAUCCUCUACUAUACUGACUAUAGAUAAAUGGGAUGUGACUCCAACUACCACUAAUUAAUACAUAUGUGUAAGAAAGUACAGUACAUAAAUAACAUUCUACUAAAAUCACCAAAGUAGGAGGACUCAUCAUCUGCUGGCUAGAAUCUGCAACUGUCUGAUUCUGACUACACAUACUAUAACUUGUACCUACAUUAUGAGACAAUGUAGCACAUAGACAUAUUGUGGAUUAGCACUUUGAGGAUGUACUAAGUAUAUGGGGGUCAAUGCAUAAAUAAAACAUAAUAUCAUUCAUCAUAAUUUAUAAAACAAUGUAUGCUAAAUGUAAAUGACUCACAUAAGCUGUAAUAUCUGAAAAUUGAAAUAUGAAAUAAUAAAAAGCAAAUCAUACUUUCUAAAUCUAGUGAGUCAUAACAUUUAGUUCUAAAAUCUGUACUUUUAUUCCCUCUUUAAAUUAUGUUAUCUUAGUGUAGAAAUGACUCACUCUGACAUCUGAAAUCUGAAAGCUGAAAACUGUAGUUAAAUACUUUUUUGUAAAGCAUAGUCUGAAUAAACUGGUGAGUCCUUACACUUAUUUUUCUAAAAGCUUUUUUGUCAUUCCCUCUUAGAAUCUAGGAACUGUGGGAGGUACUUCUAACCGACAUAAACCAAGUGACCUGUCAUGGAGUCCAAAGUUUUACCCACGUUGGGGAGAGGUGUUCUACCCUGGCCAUCGGAAUAGAACAUUAACUUAAGUGAUCACUAUCUUAACCCACUAUGGGUAAAUCAUAAAACUAUGGUUGCACGUAGUUCUAAGGUAUGAGACCUUGGAAUUUUACCCAAAUCAGUGCUAAAUACUACUCUCAUACUUAUCUAUAAGAACUUUUAGGAAAUCCAUAUUAAAAUCGCAUAAGGGUUUAUAAUGAAAACCAUUUAUGCUUCUCUUUAUUUAAGUUUCAAACUAUAUGAACAAUGUGGAUUCCUUCUCUUAACUUAGGAUCAAAAGAUCAAAGCUUUAAUGAAAAUCUAUGAAUAAACUGAUCAUAGGAUGCUUAAAGCGCCAUCUUUCUUGAAACGUCAACAUAUAAACUUGGGCUUGGUAACCCACACAUUAAACUCAUGUCAAAACAUCAUAAUAUUCAUGGUUAAUUAGGAAAACAAUGAUAAUUGAUUUCAAAAUCUAUAAAUUUCUGCAAUAGGCAUGGAAGUAUGAAAAUAGACAUGCAAUUCAUCUUCUAAAACAUUGAAAAUUUCAUAAUCUUGCAAUUAGUAAUAAUGGGUAGGAACCCUAAUUUAAAAUUCAUGUAUAGACAUUCAAAAUCAUAUAAAUUUGUAGUUAAAAGUUAGUUUUGGGCACAAGGAUGAAAGAGGAUCCUUGUUCAUAAAAACCACAUCCCUUAAUUACUUAAAUUGACGAAGAAGUUUGACUUAAAUACCUAUUUGUGUUCUUGAAGAUUGUUUCUUGAAGAAGAUAAAUUGAAUUAAUAUUCCUGGGAAUGUUAUUGAAAGCUUUUCUUGGAAUUCUUGAACUUAAGAACUCGAAUUCUUGUUUAUCUUUAAGAUAUUGUAAUGGAGUUUUGAAUUUCUUGGAUAGAGGAACCUUAAUUUCUUCAUUGUCUUGAAGAAAAUUUGAUGAACUUGUUGGUGUUCUUAAAGGAGGGCUAGGGUUUUCUUGGAGAGAAAAAGAUGAAUAAGAAUGUGUAUAAUGGUUUGGGGGCUGAAAUAAAGUGUUAUGGGAGGAUUUGAGUGAGGGGAAGUGACCAAAGUUCCCCUAUACCCUUUAGAAACAGAAUUGGCAUGUGAAAUAGUUUCGUAAUGGGUAGGCUGAAGUGUCACAUUGCCAUCGCAUCGGUUUACUUCACCACAUAGAAUAUUCCAUAGUUUUUUGCUCGAUUAUUGGAUUUAGGAAAAAUUGGCAUCAUUGAAAACCUAAUUCAAUUAUCUACAAUUUGGUGGGUCUUGAGCUGCAAAAUUCUACUUAUAUAAAAAGUUAUACACGUUUAAAGUAGACCCUUGUAGAAUUGAAUACAAACCUUUGGACGAAUCAAAGGCUCUAAGCUCAACUUUGUUCUAAGUGAUCCUUACAGACAUUUUUCACCUCAAAACCAAAUCAAGCAUGAGGAUAAAAAUCAUGAUACUCAUAUUUGCAUGGAAAUCAUUUAGAUUAUAGAUUAUACACGUAGGCACGACGAUUCAAAGACUAGCCGAAAAAUGUGGAGUAUUACAUUAUCUCCCCCUUGCAAUCAUUCGUCCUCGAAUGAUGGAUAGAAACUUUUUGAAGACAUAGAAUUAUGUCAUAAUGUAGACAUAUGUGCCUAUUACGAAAGGAUAUAACUGAGUUGAAACUAUAAAACUUACAUCAUUUAACUGAUUUAUGAGUUGACUUGCCUUUACGUACUAUAUGGAGUUGAUUCAUGCUGAGAGUUCAGAAUUUGCUUGAAGUGCUCAUGAUACUACCACACAUAUGGAACUAUAAAAUGAUAACUUAUGCAACCACGAAUCAUUAUGCAACGAAACUAAGAUUGUACUAAGGGUAUUACACUAUCUGGGCUGGAAUACUAAGAUAAUUCCCUAAACUCCUAUGAACUGAAUCAUGACUAAAUAUCCGAAUCUAAAACUGAUGCCUGAUGCAUGGACUGAGUUGAAUUCAUAAUUUACAUGGAUGUAAACAAAUUACCUCUUAGAAUGGACAUACACAUGAUACUGCGGAUAGUAAGACUAGAUAGAAAGUUAGAAAUAUAUUGGAGCUUAUUUGAUUGAUUGCUAAACAGGAUUGCAGGCUACAUGGACUGGAUCAUACUGACUGCGCAUACUAAAAUGGAGUAUUUCUUCAACACUCUUCUAUGAAAUUCUACUGAUGUUAGGGAGCAAAGAAUUUUAGGCAUAAUCUAAAAAAGAAAUCUAACUAAUGAAUCACAACAUUGACACCACUCUAUAGCAUUAAAGAUAAACAUAUAGAUUAUGAGCUAGGUUAGAAUUACUAGGCCUUAGGCAAUGCAACUUCUUACUUUGAAGCUUAGCAACACUUCUCGAAUACUCCCUCUACUAUAUUAUUCCCUUUAAACCCCAUACUUACUUAUUUCAGUUGUAAGUUCUCACAUGGGCGAUCAUAAAUCCAUCUACUAAUGUCUAAACAGCACUAAGUUCUCUCACCAUGAUCAAACCUAACUCAAACUCAUGAGGUGCUACGUGUAAAACCAUAACUGAACUAGACUACUAAUGUGAUAAGUGACACUUUAUGUUACUCCCUACCAACCGUAUAUACAAUACACCAUGACCAUAUCGUGUUGUGUCACUAUUUUUACCAUCCAAAUAGGUCUCAAACCUUUCUCGAAAAAUCUCUAACAUAUAUGAUAUAUGCUAUUGACAACCCCGAUCAUGAAUUCACUUAAGGAUUUUGAUUCCAAGGUCGGGAAGUUUGGAGACUAAUGAGCACCAUAUUCAUCCACUUAUACACCAAUAUGACAUUAAAGACUAUUGCUAUAACCACAUGUGAACAUCUAAAAAAACACCCAUAAUAGCAUACUCCUUCUAUUCUCUAAACCUCUAUCACAGCAACUCUCACGUGCUACCCUAAGAAUAUACACACAUAAUUUUUAACUAACCUGAACAUGUAUCAAAAACUUGGCCUCAAUAUUACAUCACACUUAUGGCCUUAGCUAAAACAAGCAUACAAUGAUCUUUUAUCAACAAGAAACAUUUACUCAUCAACGCUAUCAUUAUAUAAGGAGGAGUCACUGAAAGGUUAGAACAUUAGACCUUGAAGCAUGGAAGGAUACUAUAAGAAACUUGACACUUAACUGAGGCCUGAGGAAUAGAGAAUCAACUUCAUGGAUUCAUCAAAGAGAUCUGAAUUGAGGGCAUUCAUGGAUAUAAGUUGAAUCUCGCUGAUAAUUAGGAGUGUAGCAUGAGUUAUGGGAACUGAGGAUACUAAAAAGCAUGAGUACAUGAGUCAUGAGCUGCAUGAACUGAGUUUGGCGUUCAAAAAUUCCUGGAACAUGAUUCGUACUGUUGAAUGAACUGGAACUCCUCAUACUAGGGAUUAGGAAAGUACAUGAUUUUCUAUGAUAUGCAUGAAUAGAACUAUGAUCAUGAAGCUGACACGUAAGGCAUAAGUAGACAUUGUGAUGAUUGAGGUACAAAUAUUGAAAUAAGAAUGAGUCGGGCAUCUUUCUCCGACACUGGUGGCUCUACUAGAAUCUAAGAAUCUGACUUGGUUACUUAUCCUAUCAUCUCCCCCUUAGUUUUAAGAAAUCACUCUAAAUCUGUGGAUCCACUUUACUAAACUCUAACUAAACUACAACCACUUCACUCUAGAGGCCGGGGUAUAAUUAACACACAUAAGACUAAACUUACCCCGAAAGACUAUAUCUUUAUGUGUAACACCCAAUGCUAAUACCUCCUUCUGACAUUCAACUCUUAGGUUUUUAUAGCCCCAAAAGUCAUCAUAUAACAACUUAAACACUCACCAACUUAGAUUCUAACACUUAACAUGGAUAUCUCUAAAACCUAGCUAAACCAUACUAACUUCCUUCAUACUCUACUAAUAUCACAUCUCUAACUUAUAUUUUUUGUUUCACCAACAUCAUCAACCUGUAACCCAUAAGUUAACUGACAGGGACAUCGUAUGCCACAUUGCCUUAUUCAUACUUAUCAAUUCAAGGGUACCACUAACCUCAAACAAUACUUAAUUACCUUAUAAAAAGCCAAUUCAAUCCCUAUAUUACCUUGGGCACACCUCAAUAUCAUACUUACAAAUUCAUACUUAAAUUAAUAAACUUAAAGUCUUGCAUUGACUAUUCAAGCCUACUAUAUCACCACCAUAUAACUAGCAUUUCCAAUCUAACAAUCAUUAUUCUCACCUUUAUGAUCCUUUUUUAUUCAAACUUAGUGGAUAGGGCUAGGCAUUGUUAAAAAUGCAACCUUACAUACUAGUCCACUAGAAUCCCAUAAUAACAAUUAUUGAUCAUAAGCGUAUGACCUAGCUUAUUAUAAUCUAUUAGCACAUCCUCCCUCUACACAUUACUACUAUUUACCCUUAUCUACACCUAAAUGACUAUCAUAGCUCUAUAAGUUUCAACUAAACUCCUUUUUUUGUAACCUUAAGGGAGGCUUAAUUUAACAAUACUAAACCACCAAAUACAUUAUUAAUAAUCUAUACUUUUCUAACACAAUAAUUACCAUCAAUAACUCCUUUCAUGCUUUAAGCAAAUAAUAAUUCACUUUAACUAAUAACUCCUUCUCUACCUGUCACUAAACUAACACACCAGGACAUAUUACCAUAAUGCAAAAUCUAUAGCAUGCAUAAGUUUAUUGCUAUACUUUCUAUCAAUAGUCAUUCCCACUUUUCUUUUCACUAAACUUCUAUACCUAUACAUCCAACUAUAAGAAGGUUCUACUAUUUAUAAAUCAUAACACUCCAGGUUGAAAUAUCCCUCAAUGCAAACUUUAUUCAACAAUCUAGGUUCAUAUUAUCUCCACUUAUGAGCAAAAGCACUAUUUGUAUAAAAGGAAUAAUAAGCAAUCCGAAUGCAUGUCUUAUUUUGUCUUAACUAAAUAACUCAUGUAGAGGAGGACAUAAAUUUCAAUUUGAGGAAAUCAUAACACACUAGUGAGCUCCUCUUAAGCUUCUUGUAUGACUUCUGAAGUUAUUGAUAGUAAAUCUAAGAUCAUUAUCUUAGGAUGAAUUAGAACUUGCUAAUCAUGUGAUCUCAAGAGCAUAAUAUAGAUGGAGAAUUAUGGAGUGACAAACGAAUCAACACAAGUUUCUAAGGAAAGAACUUUACAGCACCAUCUAGAGUAUAAAAGAAAGGAAACAUUUUCUAAAUGCUCUAUAGCCUCUUAAAGAAAAGUACAAACAUCUCCUUACCACUCUGCAAGACUCUACUAGACACAACUUCAUAGACGCCCUAGGAAACUUGAACUCUAUGCUCUGAUACCAAGUUUUUAAUACCCCAAAAACGGGUCCUGAGAUGUCACAAGGUGCUUAGCACCACAAGUGAUCCAAAGUUAACCCAUGAACUGGAAUACUGUUAAACAACUGAUUAAUUAUGUAUAAAAUUAUAGAUAUUACUCCGCAAUAAAAUAAUAAUGAUGGAAUCUAUUAAAAUACAAUACUGAUACAAUUGUACAUUCUGAAAAAAAGUUUGAAAAGAAAGACUAAAAUUAAACGGUUGACUCUAACUAACAUCUAUAAAACCUCUAGUAUACUAAUGAAAAAUAGUUGGGACGCGACUUCAACUACCACUAAUCAACACAUAUGAGUAAGAAAGUACCGUACAUUAAGAACAUCAUACUAAAAUCUCCGAAGUAGGAGGACUCAUCAUCUGCUGGCUAGAAUCUAUGACUGUAUGAUUUUGACUACAUAUCCUACAACUUGUACCUAUAUUAUGAGACAAUGUAGCAUAUAAACAUAUAUAUGGACCGGCUCUUUGAGGAUUUACUGAGUAUAUGGGGGUGAAUUCAUAAGUAAAACAUAAUAUCAUUCAUCAUAAUUUGUAAAACAAUGCAUCCUAAAUGUAAAUGACUCACAUAAGCUUGAAUAUCUGAAAACUAAAAUCAGAAAUAAUAAGAAGCAAAUCAUACUUUAUAAAUCUAGUGAGUCAUAACAUUUAGUUAUGAAAUUGUACUUUUAUUCCCUCUUUAAAUCAUAUUAUCUAAGUGUAAAAAGGACUUACCUUUAAAUCUAAAAUUUGAAAGCUAAAAACUAUAGUUAAAUAUCUCUUUGUAAAGAAAAGUCUUAAUAAAUAGGUGAGCCUUUACACUUAUUUUUCUAAAACCUUUUCCAUCAUUCUGUCUUAGGAUUUAGGAAUGUUGGGAGGUACUUCUAACUGACAUAAACCAUAUAAGCUGUCAUGGAGUCCAAUGUCUUACCCGCGUUGGGGAGAGUUGUUCUGCCCUUUCCAUCAGAAUAGAAGCUUAACUUAAGUAAUCACUAUCUUAGCCCACUAUUGGAAAAUCAUAAACCUAUGGUGGCACAUAGUUCUGGGGCCUGAGAAGUUGGAAUUAUAACUACUCCCAUACUUAUCACUCAGAACUUUUAGGAAAUCCAUCUUAAAAUAUCAUAAGGGUUUAUAAUGAAAACCAUUUAUGGUUCUAUUUCUUUAAGUUUCAAAAUAUUUAAACAAUGCAGAUGCCUUAUCUUAGCUUUGGAUCAAAAGAUCAAAGCUUUACUAAAAAUCUGUGAAUAAACUGAUCAUAGGAUGUUUAAAGUAUCAUCUUUCUUGAAACAUCUACUUAUAAACUUGGGCUUAUUAACCCAUACAUCUAACGCAUGUCAAAAUAUCAUAAUAUUCAUGCUUAAUCAUGAAAAAAAUGACAAUUCAUCUCAAAAUCUAUAAAUAUCUGCAAUAGACAUGAAAGUAUGAAAAUAGACAUGGAAUUCAACAUCUAAAACACUAAAAAUCUCAUAAUCUUGCAAUUAGUAAUAAUGGGUAUGAAGCCUAAUUUAAAUUCAUGUAUAGACAUUUAAAAUCAUAUAAAUUGGUAGUUAGUUUUGGGCACAAGAAUAAAAGAAGAUCCUUGUUCAUAAACCCCACAUACCUUUAUCUCUUAAAUUGAUGAAUAAAUUUGACUUAAAUUCCUAUUUGUGUUUUUGAAGAUUGUUCCUUGAAGAAUAUAAAUUAAAUUGAUGUUCUUGGGAAUAUUCUUGAAAUAUUUUCUUAGAAUUCUUGAACUGAAGAACUCAAAUUCUUAUUUAUCUUGAAGAUAUUGUAAUGGUGUUUUUAAUUUCUUGGAUGGAGGAACCUUAAUUUCUUUAAUGUCUUGAAGAAAAUUUGACAAAGUUCUUGGUGUUCUUGAAGGGGCAAGGGUUUUAUUGGAGAGAAAAAGAUGAAUAAGAAUGUGUAUAAUGCUUUUAGUGGAUGAAAGAAAGUUUUAUGGGAAGAUUUGACUGAGGGGAAGUGACCAAAUUUCCCCUAAACCCUUUAGAAAAUAAAUUGGUGACAGUUCCGUAAGACGUAGGCCAACACAUCGCGUCGCUAUUGCAUCGGCUUACUUCCUCACAAGGAAAAUCCCAUAACUUUUUGCUCAGUUAUCAAUUUUAGGCAAAAUUGGCACCGUUAGAAAACUAAUUCAGUUAUCUACAAUUUGGUGGGUCUUUAGCUGCAAAAUUCUACACAUAUAAAAACUGAUACAUGUUUAAAGUAGAACCUUGUAGAAUCGAAUACCAAACUUUGGACAAAUCAAAGACUCUAAGCUUAACUUUGUUCUAAGUGAUCCUUAUGGACAUUUUUCACCUAAGAAGAAAAUUAAACAUGACAAUAAAGAUCAUGAAACUUCUAUUUUCAUGGAAAUUAUUUAUAUUAGAGCUUAUACCAUAGGCACGAUGGUUCAAAGACUCGCCCAAAAAUGUGGGGUAUUACAAAAUUAGGUACUACAUCCAUCUUAAAAACUUCAACCUAAUAAUGCUACUUAGGAAACCUAGGUAUAACCCACGAGUCGUACAUUGACUCGUGGGAUAUCAUUCAAUAACUCUUAGAUCUUUUUUCUUAAUUUUUGCUUUGAACCCUAUUUUACUAUAAAAUCAGCACAAAUAAACAUCAUAUCUAAUAAGAAUACCUAAGUUCAUAAAAAAUUUCCUUAUUUUAAACAUUCGAAUGUGCCAUGAAACCAUGGUCCAUUAACACCCACAACAUAAAAUGUCUGCAUGUCCUCAGGCUACUAACACACAAUAAACAAACAUGAUGUUUAACUAAAAGAAACCUUAGGCCCCUAGGAAUAUCAAUUUAUUUAUUUUAGCUCAUCUUUUCCACCCUCUACUAUGCAUAACUUUCAAAACCCUUGUGUGUAUCCUUGUAACAUGAUAUUAUGACACUAAUAGAAUCAGAUAAUGACAUAAAAUUAGAAAUAAACAACCAUAUAAGUAUGCAAUUUACACUCCUCAAACAAAUUAGCUCCACUACUUAACCAUGAUUCUCUUUUUCUCCCCUUAUCUCCUUUAUUAUUAUUAAGAUUAGGUGUGGUUUUCUUUAUUUUUUAUUGCAUUUAUUUUUCUUUUUCUUUUAUUUUUUUAUCUCUUUUUUUUGUUCACAAUUUUCUACCACACCCAACCCUAUCUUUUCAUAUAUUCAACACCAUUCCUUAUGCCCAUCUUUAACUAUGCACCCUUAUCAUAGCCAUCCUCAACUAAGGAAAUUUGUCUGAGUUGAGGUACGCAGUAUCAAAAUAGGGACCAGGGUCAAAAUGGGUUCUUUGUGAUUGAAAUAGGAAGAUGAACAUGUUAAAACAAGAAUAAAAGUCACUUUAGGCUCAAAUUAGGGUUUAUGAAAUACUUAUUCUCAUUUGGCCAGUCUUUUAGACUAAGACUAUAUUUAUUCAAACAUAGCCUAUCAUCAUUUCUGAACAAACUAUCUUCAACUAAAGUAAGACCAAUCGGGAAAGUUUUUGAUUAAACACACAAAGCAAACAUAGUAAAGACCUCACAUUCACAUGGGACAUGGUUAUAUUAUAUACUACUAUCUCGUCAGUUCAUGCAAUGGUAAGCUAUGAUUAUUUUAUCCAUAGUAAUAAUGCCGUAAAAAUAUUAAUAAAUAAUCAUAACAUAUAUUAAAAAUACAUAUUUCACAAAAAAAUUUAGGAGGGGUACCAUUUUUCAAACACAUAAAAACACAAAAAAUUGACUGUUAAAAGUUUCCUCAUUUUUUUAGUCAAACAAAAAAUAUAACACAUACACGAAUGCGACACAAAACCUAGACAUAUUGGCUCUUCUAUGAUAGUGGGUUCUAGGGAAAAGAGACACGACAGUAAAAACCUUGGGUGGUUGGUGCACCCUCAACCCAAACUAAAAAAUGAUGUACUAUCCCUAGUGCAUACUACAAAAAUAAAGAAUAUAUGGGUUUAUUGACAUACCUGAGAUGCUUUAUGCAUUUGAUGUAGUCUCACCCCUCGAUGGGGCAUGAAGAGGCACAUCGAGCAUAUAACUAGGAGGAGAAGGUGGUGAUCGACUAAAGUAGGCACCCAACUCACGUUGGGCAUGCUCACUCUCUUUAAUAUAAAAUUGAAUUAGAGACUCCACAAAAACCCUCUUUAGGUCAUGCAAAAUAACAUUCGAGAUAUCACUUACUCAGUAUACUCUCAUCCUCCCUUGGCCCCAUAGUCUAGGCCUCAUCCUUAAUAGGAAAUAAAUAAAAUAUCAAUGGUGGUUGUAUAUAAAGAAGCUUCAUAAUUGAAGGUAUAAUUGUAGGAAUUAUAGGAAUGUGAAUCUCAUCUAAAGUACAACCUCUAAUCUCAGUAUGUGCACCUCCUUAUGGAAGAUAGAAAAUUUAGGCACCUGAGCCUAAUCGAGUCGGUCUCCCAUAUGUAUUUCAAAUUUCCAAAUUGUGUGGGCAAAUCUCAAGUAAACCACUAUAUAGUAGUUAAUAUCCUCGACUCUACUUACAUAUUAGAUGCCUCUAAAGUAGUCCAAGCCCAAGGUUGAAUCUUACCGAAUAACUUGGCCAAUUGUUUGUCGAUGUAUGUCUGGUACGCACUAAAUUAUUAUUUCCUAUCAACCAAUUACUUUAAAAAUUCAUGUGGUACUAUCCCAAUAGCCAAAAUUAGUGGGCAAAGGGGCACUGUAAAAGUAGAAGCAAGGGUUGAAUUACCUAUAGCGCUUUCACUACCCGUUGUAAAUAAAGGCUUUGAUUACUAACUAUCUCAAUAUCGCUAACCACUGUUGGACUAUCAAUCUUCUUAAUCGACUCAAAGAGGGCCUCUUCUAAAGAUGUAUAAGGAUGUACCUUCUUUAGUGUAACUGGGUUUGCGUCAUCAUGAAUUAACCUUAUAUCAACCAUCCGGGUAGCCUCAACUCAAACAUCAACCUCAUUGAAUACUGAUACUGCCAAUGCAUCUCAUAGUUUCUAUAUCAAGUAGGGGAAAUAAAUAUUUGUGUAUCACAAAAAUCCCUCUCGUGAAUCUCAUCCCAAAUCCAUCAUGCUAAAUUUAUGUCAUAGAUAACCAUGAUGAUGGCAACCAAUGCAUCCCUAACCCUGGCGAUUGAAUUACUCAUAGAUUUGGGGCUCAUACUAUGUAUCACUAUCGACCAUUAAAAUUUUACUGUGAUAUAAACACCUCUUUAUCUCUACCUUUCCUUCGACCGAAGGGAGAUUAAUACGACGUUUAGAAACCUGCUAAGCCAACAAUCUCGCUAGCUCUCUCAAUUGCUCUAGCUGAUUGCUAUCCAUCAUAGUCCUCCUACUCCUUACUACCCUCAUCUGAUAGUUAAACUCAGAUAUAGUCAACCGCAUAACAAACUAUGACCUAGAUAUAAAUCAGCAAAUCAUCUCUUCAAAUAAAUAAUCUCUAACCCCUUUAACUAGUGUAUAUUCCAGUAGAGAUAAGUCUUGAGUUAUCAUCCCCACUGGUGUUAUCAAGUCAAUAAAUGUGGCUAAGGAUUCAUAAAACUCACAUACCACCUCGAGGUUGUAUGAUCCUAAAGGCUCACCUACGCAUCAGAGCCUAUAUCGAUCAUUAGGUUUAGAAUUCCUAUCAAUACUGCUAGUCCUAUUUGAGGCUCCUCAACUAUACUCAUCCAAGACCUACCUUACUCAGUGACCUCAAAAUCUCUAUCAUAAAUACAUGGUAUAUCCUUACUAUACCAUCUCUAAAUGGCCUAAUCUGCUGGCAUUGCGAAGAUGUGUGUUGACUCUUAAGCUAUUGGAGAUGAAGAGAGUCAUCCAUAGUAUCAUAAUGGGGUUCAUUUGUCUCUCCAUCUGCGGUACCUAAUGCGUACUCUGCCCCCUUCUUCGACUAGGGGCAAAUGAUUUCUCUUCACUAAUACUGUAACUAGAUUUUUUCUCUCCCUAACAUACUUUGGAGUGGUAUAAUAUUAUAUAGUAUAGUCUAAGUAUACUUUAUUUGGGGUCUAGUACAGAUAACAAGAGUUGGUAAGGCCUGGAUCCUGUACCAAAGAGUCAGUGGUGAUGCAGUUUAAAAGUCUAUCUAAAUAAUAUCAUUGUAUGGUGCAUCUCACUGAAUCUAGCAAUGGAUUAAUGGUGUACUAUCGAUGGACUACUCAUCGAUUGAUCCACUCUGCUUGGGAGAAUCAUAUCUCAAUCUUGAUUGGAUGCCCUUUUUUGGUGUUGCAUUUGGUGCUAUGGUGCUUGUAUUUAAGAAUCAUCAAUAAUAGUAUCACAAUAAUUUUAAAAUAUAAGGAAAGAAAAAUGAAUUCCAAUUUAUAGGUUUAGCCUAUGUGUCAAGGUAAUGAUUCAUGGGUUGAGCUCACAAAUCAUAAGUUAAGACUCGUGGAUUGAGAAACUAACCUACAAGUUCAACCCAUAAUUCUAGAGUAAAUGACACAAGCCGUGACAAGCCCUCGUGGAAUCAGAAAAGGACUUUGAACUUUAGGGCUUUAGGUCAAAUUUCUAUGAGCCCAACCCAAAAUUCAAGAGUGCAAUUGACAAAUCAUAGGUUGGGUUCAUAGGUUCAAACUUGAAAUUUCUUAUAUUUUCUUAUAGAUUUCAAUUCCAAAUCAAACAAUAUUUUUCCUUUAAUAGGUCAAUUUUGAACACAUUAGGUCAUGGCACAUGAAGUAGUUCAAUUCUAAUGUUAAGGGUUUCAAGUAAUUUAGACUAUGAGAGGUAAUCAAGUUUUAGGUUAGUAUAACUGUGAUCAAAGGUUUUAAUAAUAAAAAAUAAUUAGCAACAAAAUUUUACCAUGAGAGACCUUAUCUUGAGACAAAAAUCUGACAAGAAGAAAUAACAACUUAGGAGAGUGUGAUUUUUGGGCCUUUGGACACACGAGAAUGUUGGUUUGAAGUUGGUGUUUCAAUUGGAUAAGUUGGAGGAGUUCUAAUUUUAGUGGAAGUUAUAAAUUUUGGGAAAUGGGUCGAUUUUUUAGUUUUAAUUUUAAUUGGCAGCCUAUUCGGGUUGGGUUAUAUGGGCCCAAUAAUUAAAAUUUAAAAUUGGACCUAUUGCAACUCAACUCACAAUUAGAGUAUUGAUCUCACUAAUCGCUGGUAGAAUUCAUGAGUUUGGUUUAGUGGCCCACUGGAUUUUUAUGAUUCAUACUACUCAAUCCACUAAUCAUGGGUUCAACUUAUGAUUGGUGGGUAGGAGUCAUAGGUCAAGAUUUUGAAAUCUGUUAGGGAUCGUUGAUCCCUAUGAUUAAACACAUGAAAUGUGGGUUGUACUAAUUUGAGGGUAGGAUUCGUGUGUUGAACUCCAGAGACUAGUUGGAAUUUUUUUAUUCCCACAACUAAACUCACGAGUCAUGGCUUGGACUCACGAUCUAUUGGUUGGAUUUAUAAGUCCACUUACUUGUACUUGUCUAAACUUUUGAAAUUUUAUCAUACUCCGAUUAUUUGUCAUGCUCCCUAUCCUGCAAAACAAAUCGCAGUGAACACUAAAACCUUGGGUUUCCUACAAAUCAACACUUGAUUUACGUUGCGACAUGGAAUGACUAUGUUGGGUAAUCAAACUUCACUAACAGGACCAUGGGUUGCCUUCUAUGAAACACCUGAUUUAACAUCGUGGCAUGACUUAUCUCCCUUAGAUACUGAGACUUCACCAAGGCUAACAAUCUCACACACUAUUAGCUACUGCAUGCUUCUCAUAUAAUGCUUAACACAAUGCCCAUUCACCUUGAAUGAGGCAUCCCCAUCUCGUUGUGACUUAGUCACACCAUAUGGAAAUAUAAUUACCAUGGUGGAUGGUCCAGACCAACUAGAAUUCAACUUGAAAAAAAAUAAUUAAAGCCUCAAAUUAUACAACAAAACCGCAUUAAUGGGUUGGAAUACCAUUUUCUCUAUUUUCUUGUCAAAAACAAUGUCAUCUUCUCCUUAUAUAAGGAUAUACUUUCAUAAGAACAGAGGCAAAACUAGUCAAUCUCAUUCAUCUUAUACAAUCUCAAGUGUACAACAUCACUCAAAUAAAAAUUUAGCUUCUUCAACACCAAUAGUGGCUUAUUCUUAAGUUCAACCAGUAGAUGGCAUUCCUUGUCGUACACAAGCAUAUAAGCAGAGGAACAUAUGGGAUAUUUAAGUUUUUUGGUAGGUCCAAAGUGAAUUAUUUAGCUUCUCAAUCAACCAGUCCUAUUAGAAUUCAUAGUCUUCAUCAAAAUGAAUAUUAUCUCCCUGUUAGAGACCUCAACUUUCCUACUUUCCUACUUAUGGUAAGGUGUUUCCACCUUAUGUUUCAAACCAUUUUCUAAAAUAGGGAUUGAAACAAAUGAUUUCAAAAAUGACACUCCUCAGUAGUAAAGACAGUUCAUGGAGUACUAAACUAUGAUAAAAUAUUUUUCUUCAAAUAUGCCAUGACACUCCUCCCUUCAUUGUUAGGAAGAGUGAUGCCACCAAAUUAGACCUCCAAAAAAGUAAAAAUGGUUGUUUCUUAAAUCUAUAACCCAACAAGGUUGCGGUCGAUCACAUGAGGAAUAGGUCAAAAACCAACCAUCAUCUUGCUAAUCUAAUUGCAAAAUACGAAAAGUAAAAGAUGGUUUGUUAAAACAAUAGUAACAGUAACAAUGUUAUGCAAUUAAGGUUGUGAUCAAUUUGAUUGGAUCAAUAAGAUUGUGUUACCACUGAGCAAUUAGGGUUUUCAUUCAUAUAAGACGAUCACUAAAAUUCUGUUACCGCUAAUUUCUUAACCCUAGAGUCUAUUCAUGCAUGUUAAAUAAUCUUUAUGCCUUGCAUACCAAAUCUACCAAGUUAUGUAUCACCUAAUUGUAUCUUGGCCUUGGUUUAGGUGAAUUUCACCCAUCUCCUCUCGGUCUUAGAGUAUUGCAUUACUAACCCUUGUUCUUGAUCUUGGAUUAACUAACUCCUCUCGGUCUCACAUUAAUGAAAUAAAGGCUGAUAGCUUUAAAUUACUAUUUUGAUCUCCUUUUCCUAAACUCUACCUAUUUAUCAAGCAAGUAUCUAACAGAAGUGAGUUCCUAACAUUUACAACCAUUAAUAAAGAAUUAAAUACAACAAAACUCUUAAUACAUCAAGAAUACCAAUUUAGAAUGACUUUAUACCUCACCUAUUUUGUUAUUCCAUCAAGGUACCAACAAUCCUAGUUAUGGGGUUAGAUAUUCAAAUUUGUAAGAACACAUAUAUAUUCCAUAGAUGAAUGCAAAAGGAUGGACUUACAAGGAAUAAGAAUGAAAACACAAAAUAUCAAAUUAAUUGUAAAACCUAAAAAUCAUGAACACUGAUUCUAAGAUCUAUAAUGUAUCUCAUAACUCAAACCAAUGUCAAAAUUGCAUAAAGUGUGUAAAUUGAUAAUAAAACAUCCAAAGGAUAUUUAUAGAUACAUUUGAAGACGUAUCCAGAAUAGUGUAGGAACCAGAGUCAAACCCAACCCGUGAGGCAAAAUAUGGGUCGUACGUUCUACCUACAAGGAAUAUAUAAAUUUGCGGACAUCAAAAAAAUCUUCCAUCUGCACAAUAUAUAACUAUUAGGAAACCUACAAUUCGUAGGUUAUACCUAGGCCUCAUAGGUAGGAUGUGGGAAUCAAACUUUACUUAUCAACUUUAAGAACUUCAGAAUAUCAACCUACGUGACCACCUAUAGUUUGUUGGUACUUUCCACGAGUCAUAGGUUGCCACAUAUGUAUCUUUCUUAGCUACUCUUCAUAACUUUUUCUCAUUAUUUGUUCCAAACUUUGUUUUCUAGCAAAAUGAACACAGAGGUACAUAACAUCUAACGAGAGUACAUAGGUACUUGUACAAUUUCUUUAUUGUAAGUAUAAAAAGUUUCAUGAAACCAUUGCAUAACAACAAGUUUAACUUAGAAAUUUUACUUGUCCUUAAGCUAAUUACACAUAUAAAUAAAAUGAUGCUUAAAUAAACGAAACCGAAAUACACCCAUGAUAGACAACUCAUUUUAGCUCAAAUUUUUUACCCCAACCUAGUCACAACUUACAAAACCAUUGUGUGGAUCCAUGCAUUACAAAAACAUGAUACAACAGGAAUCUUAUAAAGGAAUUGAAUUUUAAACAACAAGUCAAGCAUGUAUGUAAUUGACACUAGAUGAACAUAUAACUAGUUGACAAUAAAACCCAUGUACUCUCAUGACAAAGACAACCUAAAUCCCACAGUAUCAUCAUGCAUGUAAAAUUAGGAACUAAAUCAAACACUCACACUCUCAAAAGAAGUUCAAACAAUGCACACAAAAUACCAUAGGCUUGUCCUUAUUUUAUAUACCUUAGUUUUUUGGAUAGUUGGAUUGGGAUCACUAUAAUACUUUUAUAGGAUUGAAAUUUAGGAUUGGGGGAAAUUAUGGUUCAUAUGGGACAAAUGACUCACCCUCUGAUGUUGGGUGUAUUUUUGCAUUCUAGUGUCACUAUUAUAGUCUUUUUAGCCUUGUUUUGAGGAUGUUUCGUAUGAUAUAUGGGUUGAUAAUGAGAUAAAUAUGCAUAUAAGUGUUCAUUCAUGUGGUUAAAAUGUUCAAAGUGAAUUUCAAAUAAGUUUGUACUUCAAUGAUUCAUUUAGGUUCAAUCAUGGAAACUAGGAGCCAGGUGCUUGUCUUGUUGAUCUCGGUGGAUUCUAUUGUGUUUAUUGUGUUCCAAAAUAGUUGUAAUGUGUAAUUAUAAGUGGAAUAGGUUGUUGGUAAAGUUCAAUUUUAAAUUUUAGUAAGUUAAGAGUUAGAGUCAGAACAUAAGUUAUAGAUCAAUGCGAACUAGCCUAGCUAAGCAUUUGUUUUUAUUCAUCCUCAUGGGUAUUUUGUUGUGAUUGUUUUGAAUUUUUUUGUAGUGAUUGUGUAGCAGACUAUGUGAUCUGAAUAUGAUAAUAUUUUGAUGUUGAAAAGGAUGGAAAUCCAUGGGGAACGCAUCACAAGACAAGGGAUUAAAAUGUGAGACUGAACACUUAGGAAAAAUUUGAGAAGCCAAUUCCAGAGAGCCAAGGCAAUUUGGCCACGUCACCCUAGCUAUAGCGGUGCUAUAGGGGAGGAUACACCCUGGAUUAAAUGGGGAUCUAGGUGAGGUGAUUCACUGGAUGGAUUGGGCCUAUACCUUGGGCAUCUGCCUUUCCAUUCCUUUCCUCAGAAAUUGAUGGAAUUAAACUCCUACACGGCUUGGGCUACUUCUAUUGCAAUAAAUACAUCAUUGUUUCAUUUUUUACAUAUAUUUGAACAUAUUUUGGUGAUUAAGGGGAUGCUACAACAUUAUAUUUAGGUUUGUAUUAUUUUAAUUUAGUUCAUCCAUAUUUUUAAUCAUUAACUAUAACUUUGUGAUUAUGACCAUGACUAUGCAUGGCUAAAUGCCCUCUUUCCGUGAUUAAGGCCAAGAUCAUGAAUAUUUUCAUUUUGAAUUAAGUUUGUUGAUUUGCUUAUUAUUUGGUUGUUUGUUUAUUCUUGUUUUAACUAUUUUAAGGAUUAACUAUUUGGUUGUGAUCUCGGGAGAGAGAAUAGGGUGAUAAAACACUAGAAUAAAAAAAGUAUGGUUCUUGUUUCUUUAUAAAAUAAAAAUUUUGAAUUAGUAUCUAGGACAGGAAAGUACUUAGAUGCCUUACUUGAUUCACACGUAGGAUGAUAUCUUAAAAAACUUAAUUGGACUAUUAUAUCCCUGCUCAAUGAUGUAGUUUUAAGGUUCAAAUUAAGUAAACGUCUGGAGGUCGGGAGACUGUGAUCAUGCAAUUUACCCUAUGAAUAAAUAACCAAGAUAAUCAAGUUAACAAAUGAGGUUUAUAUAUGUAGUUUGAUUGUUCGAAGUUCUUUAACCCUAGUCUUUACUCCAUUGAUUGUUCCGAGACUGUUAUUUACGUAUUAUUUACUUUACUUGCAAUUUAUAAUUUCCAAACUCUCUUUUUGGUUACCUUUGCAUCAAAUCAAUCUUAGAUGUUUUACUAGAAUUAAAUUGUUGUUAAAUCAUGUCUCGAUGGGAUCAAUACUUGGCUUCUUGAAGUCCGCUUUACUACUUGAUAAGACCACGUGCAUUUGUGUUUGCGCUUGGGCGGUCACCCUCCUUGAUACUACACAUACAUUAUUUUCUCCACUACUUAACCAUUCUUUAUUUAUUCACCCUUUUUCUCUUUUAUUGCUUAUUCGGAUUGGGUGUGGUUUCCUUCAUUAUUUGUAUUUUUUCACUUUUUUUCCUUUUGUCUUUUUUCUUCUCGCUCUACUAGUAUACACAACUGUUCCUUCUUUUCUUGUAUUCAACACCCUUCUUCAUACCAUCAUUAACUAUGCAUCCCUAUGAUAUCCACCCUCGACUUAAGCAAUGUUCCUGAGUUAAGGUAUAUAGUGUCAAAGAAGGGACCACGAUGAAAAUAGAUUCAUUCUAAUUAAAUGGGAAGGGUAAAAGGUUUAAUCAAGAAAACAAGUCAAUUUCGGCUCAAAUUAGGGAUCAAGUAUUCUUAUUCCUAUUUGAUAUGUCUUUUAGUCUAAGAGUGGACUUAUUCAAACAUGACCUAUGACCAUGUGCCAAUGAAAUAUCCUUUAAUCUAGGAAAUAUUAAACGUGUAAAUGUUGGAUUCAACACAUGAUGUGAACUAGGUGAAUGCCUUAAACACACAUGGUACUCAGUUACAUUCUCAACUACUAUCUAUCCAUUUCAUACAAUGCUAUGCUAUGGUUGUUUUUUCCACUAUACUAAAGUGAUAACAAGUAUCAACAAUGGUCAGACAUUUAUUCAUAAGACAAGGUUCACUAUAAUUUUAGGAGGGCCAUCACAUAAAAGAAAAAAUUUGAUAAUGGAAGGUUCUUCAUUUUUCUUCUAGUAAAAAAAAAACAAAUUAUGUAAGGCUGGGGUAAAUACAUAUUAUGUGAGGCUGGCACUUUUUCCCCAUUCACUGUUGUGGGAAGAAAAAAGGUUGUUUAAUAUGGAGAAUGCUAAUUCAAUCACAUCAUGGGAUGACUUAUCCAGAAAAUUCCUCAUCAGUUUUUUUCCAUUUGGCAAGACUGCGAGACUUUGGAGUAAGAUAGUAAAUUUCAAGAAAAAGCCUAAUGAAAAUAUUAAUCAUACUUGGGAAUUCUUUAAGAGUCUUCUUCGGGACUUCCCACAUCACAAAUAGUCUAAUGAGGUAUUCGCUCAUACAUUUGUAGAAGCUCUUGAUUAAAAUACAAAGAUUUUGUUAGAUUCAACAAUGGGUGGUCAAGCGCUAAAAUUGACUUAUGAUGAGCUGUACAAAUUUUUGAACUGCAUAGCACAAGGAAUCCAAAGUGUCAUUUAGAUUCUAGAAGUGCCACAAAAAGAAUUGUGAGCGUUUUAGAGAUGGACCAGUUCACAACCUUAUCAGCUCAGGUUGCAACAUUGCCAAAUAUGAUAAAUACUUAGUUUAACAGCCUAAAAUUGGGAGCUCCAUAGCCUACCAUAGUAGUCAGUAUAGUUCAACAAACUAGUGGUUGGUGUGAGGUCUAUGAAAUAGUAGCCAUUCAGCAGGCACGUGUGCUUCAAAUCCAAAAUCAAUAAUAUUUAUGGGCGAUUCUCAAAGGCUGAUUUGUGGUAACGCCUACAACAUAAAGUGGUAGACUUAACCGUGGAUUGCAUAAUAGUAGAAAAUUCCAUAUCCAUAUACCCAAACAAAUAAGUCAAAUAGCAACAUGAAAGAGAUAUUAAAGAAGGUUCUAGAUAGUCAGACCAAAUUGGCUUCAGACAUAAAAAAUUUGUAAGAUGCCCAAAGAAGCUUAGAGUUGCAGGAUGUGGGGGCGAUAACACUCAGUGAAGAGUGUAGUUCUGUAAUGACAUAGAAAAUCCCUAAGAAAUUCAGAGCUUAUGGGAAAUUUAAUCUCCCUAUCCAAAUUGGGAGUAAAGUGCUCCACAUAUGAGUAACUUAAGAGAAGCAUAAAUUUGAUGCCCCUAUCACUGUUUGAAACAUAAGGCUUGGGAAAGCCUAGACAGACCACUAUGGUUUUAUAGCUACCAAGUGUGUCCAUGGCAUAUCCAAUAGGAAUAAUAGAGGAUGAAUUUAUAAAGGUUGGUAAAUUCAUUAUUCGUUCUGACUUUAUUAUUCUUGAUUUGAGGUAGACGAACAAGUAUCAAUCAUCUUGGGGCAUCCAUUCUUAGUAAAUAGAGAAGUAUUUAUUGAUGCUAGAGAAGGGACACUCAAAAUAAGGGUAGAGGAUAAAGAGGUGGUAUUUGAUAUUUACAAAGCAUCUUUAUAACAUCCCAUUAUAAAGAAUUUUGUAUGAUUUAUGUUAGAAAAGGGGAAAAGUGUGGGGUAGGUAGUGCACCAAAGACCUCAUUAGAGUACCUAAUUGAGCAGCUUAAACUUAUAUCACCUAAGCCUUACAUAAUGAACUUUGAUAAGCCUUAAAAGGCUAAAUUUUAGAAACCUAUGACUCUUGAAAGUGCACACACAAAAGGUGUGAAAAUAAUAAGAAGAUGGUCUCCAAGUGUGAGAAAAAAGAUGAAGGAAUUUUGUAAAGUUAAGCUAGGUCGUGUCGCAACACUAAAUCAGGUACUUUUUGAUUGAGUCACAGGUUUAUGUGUAACCCAUGCUAAGGAGCAUGGAAAAGAUUGAUUGUGAGGUCCUACUGACCUCCUCUAUGUAUAAAGAUGCUUCUAGCUAGGUCUAGAGACCUCAACCAGUAUUUUUAUCUCUUACCUUUAAAUUCACUUUAGGGACAAAGUAGAUUUUUAUGUGUAAGGUAGGGAAACUUCCAAAAUUUUUGGCUUAGUUUAAAAUUUUUCUUUAAGACAUUUAAGUUGGUGCUAUUUUUUAUUACAUGAUGCAAAUGUUUUGUUUGUUAAAAUAAUGUUGAUUGUGUGAAUGCCUAUUUUUUAGACUUUUAGGAUUAAGUUGUGACUCUUGUUCUGGUGACUUAAACUUGAAUUCAUGCUAUUGUUUGGUUGAAAGUCUAUGAUGAUCCCAUUGAGUUGAGGAUGUACCAUAUGCAUGUGAGGUUUUUGUAUAUUCCUUGUUAAAUGUGAUGUCUAUAUCUUUCACGGUGUGUGUGUAAAGAAAAAUAAAGAAUGUGAGUUUAGGAGAUGAUAUAGUCAUUUCUUUGAUAGCCAUGUUUUAUAACAUCUUUUUGUCCUACCCUUUGUGCUUAAUCUUAUUCAACCACAUUGAGCCUUUAGAUUUUUAUUUGUUAGCCUCAUAAGUAGCCUAAUCUCUUCUUUGAUUGACCGAAAUUAGAUCCAAAUGUCUCUUAGGUGCUUUAAUGAAAAAUUAAUUAAGUAAAUAAGGAGUUUUGAGAAACAAGAGGGAAAAGGUGAAUUUGAUGCCCCAAGGUAAUAGUUAUUGGUGUUAACAAUUGAUGUGUGGUAUAUGGGUGUGAUAUAUAUUAUGUAAAAAUAUUACCAUGGUUGUGAAAAAGAAAAAGAAAAAAAUUGAUUCAUGUGGUAAUAAAUAAUACUUCAACCAUGUGAUUGUGAAAAUUCUUAAAAGAGUUGGGGUACAAAACAAAAGAUAUGGGUAGUCAAAAAGGGUGUAAAUUUAUUGUUGGAUAUUAGUUUUAUAUGUAUGACAUAGAGUAUUAAAGUGCUUAGAGAGGUUAAUCACAGUUCCCAAAUAGUUCCUAUGAGUCCCUUAGCUUACAUUAUAACCCGGAAAAGACCUACUUACUCAAAGUUCAUCAUUCUUAUAUUAGUGGAGCACUACAAUAAGGGCAAGCCUAUGUAUCAUUAUGUGUAACUUGUGAAUUCCUUGUGUAAUUUAAUUCGUGGACCCAUUACGUUAUGAAAUGCUUUUAUGUGGGUGAUUAUGGGUAACUCUCUUAUUUUCAGGGGCACAUGUUUGAUGAAUGUGGGUGAUUUGUAUGAUGUCCUUGAUUUAGCAAUAAUCAUGAGUCUGCAAACUAGGUGAGUCAAUUCUUGAGGCUAGGAUGUGUUGGCAUAGUGUUCAUGAGGUUUCAAUUGUGUAAAUAACAUGCUUAGUAAAGAAACUUGCAUUCCAUGCAAUCAGUGUAGUGCUAGCUUGAGUGUCUUGCAUGUAGUAGAAGUGUAGAAUCUCUUUGGUGAAUGAUGAUUAUAAUUAAGAUUUGUUCAAGGAUGAAUAUGUCUUUAGGUGAUGUUGGGUGUAUUUAUGCAUUGUAGUUUCACUAUUCUAGUAUUUUUUAGCCAUGUUUUGAAUAUAAUUUGUAAGAUAUAUGGGUUGAUAAUGAGAUCAAUGUGAAUAUAAGUGUUCAAGAAUGUGUUUACAAUCUUCAAAGUGAAUUCCAACCAAUUUUUUACUCCAAUGAGUCAUUUAGAGUUCAAUCGUGGAAACUAGCGAUGCUAGCUUAAGCUAGGUUCUUGUCUAUUUGAUCCUUGUGGAUUUUAUUGUGUUUAAUAUGUUCCAAAUGAAUUUAAUGUGUAAUUAUAAGUGGAAUAUCUUGUUUUUAAAUUUCAAGUUUCAAUUUGAUUAAGUUAAGAGUCAGAACAUAAAGUUACAAAACAAUAUGAACUAGCCUAGCCUAGCGCGUUAUGUGCCCUAGAAAUAUUAGAAAACCUAAAAUCAACAAAUGAAACCAAUAACUUCAAUAAUAUCAAUCAAACAAUUCGUGACUAUAUUCCUCAACAAUGGCACAAAAAGAUUAUGUCAGCCAAAUUACACCUCUAAGAAAGUAUAAAGUUGUCGCUUGUCAAAUAUUGAACCCAACAAGGUUCGAGUCAAUCCAAUGAGGAAUAGGUAAGAAACCUAUAGGGAGCGUGCUGAUGUAAUUAGCAAUUAGAGAAAGUAAAAGGGAGUUUAUGAAAACAAUAGUAACAUAACAAGGAUAGUCAAUUAGAGCUGUUAUUAAAAUGCGACAAUAACUUGGAUUGUGUUCCCCCUGAAAACUUCACAGACUGUUUAUGCUUGUAACACUAUCUCAGUGCCUUGAAUGCAAAAUAUAACAAGUUAUGUAUUUCCUAAUCAUCUCUCGACCAUACUUUGGGUGAAACUCACUCAUACCCUCUAAGUCUCAGAGUUUCGCAUUACCAAUGCUUAUUCUUGAUCUCAGAUUAACUAUAUCCUCUCACUUUUAUGUUACUUAGAUAAAGUUAUGUAGCUUCAAACUACUAUUGUAAUCUCCUUUGCCUAAUUUGUACCUAUAUUUUGAGAAAGUAUUGAAUAUGGGUGAGUCCCUAACAUUUGCAGCAAUUUACAAAGAAAUCAAAUCAAAUAAAAUUCCAAUAUAUGAAAGAACAUCAAGAUAGAAUAACUACACACUUCACCUGCUUUGUUAAUCUAUCAUGAUUCCCACAACCCUAGUUAUGCAGUUUAGCUACUCCUAGUUGUAAGAACACACAUAGACUCCAUAUGUGAAAGCAUAAGGAUGAACUAAAGAACAAGAAUAAUGAACCCAAAUGCUCAAAUUAACUAUAAACCCUAAAAAUAAUAAACCAUUAUUCCAAGAUCAAUAAUGCAUCUUAGAAUUCAAAUCAAUGUCAAAAGCGUAUAAAGUGAAUAAAUUGAUAAUAAAAUAUACAAAGGUUAUUUAUAGAUACAUCUUAAAAUCCAUGCUAAAUAGUGUAGGAAACAAAAGUUGGACCUAACCAAUGAGGUAACAUAUGUGUUGUGGAUUGGGCCUAUGGAUCAUUGUUUGUAAUUGCGCAACAUAACUAAGCUCAUGGAAAUUUAAAAAAUCAUUUUUUUGCAUAGCUUUUAUCUACAAGGAAACCUAUAGUCUGUAGGUUGAACCUACGUGUCGUAGGUAGGGGCAUGGUAAUAAGACUUUAAUCAACAACUUUUAUAACUUUAGAAUCUCGUCCCACAUGGCCACCUCUUGUUCAUAGAUACUGUCCAUGAGCCAUAGGUUAGCUUGUGGCCAGCCUUCUAAAAUAUUCUUCAUCUUUUUUUCUCAUUCUUUUCUCUAAACUCUGUUUUCUUGCAGAAUCAAGACAAAAGAACAUCACAUCUAGUUAGAGUACUUAAGUACUUGCACAAUUUCCUUUUCUUAAGCACAAAAAAUGCCAUUAAACCAUGGAACAUCAACAUACAAUGGCUUCCACUCAUUUGGACACAUUAUCAACUUCCACCAAGAUGUAUUUUGUCCCAUGUCAACUUAUGAAUAGGCCCAUAAAGUUGAUACCUCUCACAAAGAGCUCAUGCUUUAAUAAAAUAUUAUCCUUCCAUUGGCAUUGGUCGCAGGCCGUAGGAUAUUCAUGUGCAUUCUUAUAGAUCGUUGGCUAAUAGUAACAAAAUUAUAGAAUUUUGUGGGUAGUACGAUUACCUAUAUGGUGACCUCUAACUAGAGACGAAUGAUAGGUCUCCAAAAUUCACAUUAUCUUAACUUUGAGAAUAUAUGUUUGAAUCACACCAUCUGCUCACACCUAGAAUGAGUAUGGCUUAUCACAAAAAAACUUUUGUACCUCAUGCAUAAAUAAUUUUUGUUGCUAAAAUAUGUCCUUUGGGAUGAGUUUAAUCACCAAAUAAUUGGAAAAGUUAGAAAACCAAGGGAUUAAGUAUUGUGAUGCUUCAAAAAUAUUGCUAUCUGGAAAAGUAUCAUCAAUCUCAAGAUCAUCCCCUAGUUUAAGCAUCGCCUCCUCUUCUUGGAGGGAUAGAUGGUCUGCAACCUUAUUUUUGGUGCCCUUUUGAUCCUUUACCUCAAAGUCAAAUUCUUAAAGAAAUAGUACUUAUUGAAUGAAUCUUAGAUUAGAGUACUUCUUCAUCAUUAGAUACGUCAAAGCAACAUGAUCAGAAUGACUUUGGUACCAAUCAAGUAGGACCAAAACUUUUCUAUAGCAAACACCACUACAAGAAAUUCUUGUUUAGUAACCAUGUAUAUUUGUGCGGGAUUGAGUGAUUUGCUAGCAUAAUAAAUAGGUUAAAGAAUCUUCUCUCAUCAUUGGCCUAGAACUACCCCUAGGACCACAACACUGGCAUCACACAUCACUUUAAAUGGUAAGUUCCAAUCAUAAAACACAAUGAUAUGAGAUAAGAUCAACCUCGAUUUUAGGCACUAAAAAUCAUUAAGACAAGUAUCCUAAAAAACAUACUUCACCUCUUUCUCUAUAACUUUAACAAUGAAUUUGCAAUCUUAGAUAACUGCUCGAUAAAUCGCCUAUAAAAACCUGCAUGACAUAACAAACUCGAAGUACGUUGGAGGAAAUUUUUCAAUCACCUUAAUUAUUGGCAUGUUGACCUCUACUCGCUUUUUUAGAAUCUAGUUUACAAGAACUAUCCCCUUAAACCAAGAAGUGACGUUUCUCCCAAUUUAAUAUUAAAUUACGCUCUUCACUUCUUUGUAGUUCAUUAGCUAACUGAGCUAAACAAUCAUCAAUUGAAUAUCCACAAAAGAUAUAUCAUACAUGAAUACCUAGAUAGUAUCCUUUACCAUGUAAGAAAAGAUGGACAAUAUGCAAUACUGAAUGGUGGUAGGAGUAUACCAAAGACUGAAGGGCAUCCUCUUUAAUACAAAGAUACCAUAUGGGCAAAUGAAAGUGGUUUUCUCUUUGUCCUCAAAAGCAAUUUAAAUUUUAUUAUAACUUAAAUAACCACCAGUAAAACAAUGCCAUCCUCUACUAGCAAGAUGGUGCAAUAUCUGGUCCAUAACAGAAAAGUGAUCCUUAUGAGUCUAAGUAUUCAACCUUCGAUAAUCUAUGCAAACUCACCAUCCCAUUAUAGGUCUUAUGGGAACUAAUUCAUUUUUCUCAUUGGGACUUAUGGUGAUCACACUCUCUUCGGCACACAUUGAGUCGGGCUCAUCCAUUAUUGUUACAAAUAGGGUAAACUAUACCUGUAUCUAACCACUUAAUAAUUUCCUUCUUCAACACAUCUUGCAUAGGUGGAUUUAGUAAACAUUAAUGCUCUAUUGUACGCACACAUUUUGGUUCAAGUUGAAUAUUCUGAAAACAAAUUUAAGGAAUUUCUAUAAUAUCAGCAAUAGUCCAACUAAUAGCCCUUCUAAAUCUCUACAAAACUGACAUCAAUAACUCACAUCUAUCUCUAAAAUAUCUGAUAUGAUAUUCGACAAGGUAUUAUUGAGCCUAAUAACACAUAGAGCAAAAAAUAAGAAAGGGCAUUUAAUUAAAAAAUCAAUGACUCCUUAAUGGAUUGAGUGGAUUGGAUUGCUCUAUUAUUCAAAUUAAGCUCCAAAUUCUUUGCUGCAUAAGUGUAAGAACCUCAACUAAUGAGUUUAUUUACUAUAUCAUUAUACUCAUUGAUAUCAUUGCUCUUAAAAUUAAUGAUCACUACUUCUAGUGCCUCAACACCAAGUCUCUCCUCAAAGGGUAUAACUAAUGCAUUUUCAUCUAAGGUAUCUAUCAUAGACACUGCCCACACAGAUUUUGGCUACCUCAUCGAUGGAAACACAUUGAAUGGAACCUGCUCAUAAUUAAGUCUAAAUUUUGCCGGUCUUACUUCCAUGUCAACUAGUGCCCUACCCGUAUAUAGGAAAGGCCUACCUCAGAGUUGGUAAUUAUAAAAUCAGAUGGGAAUAUAAAAGUAGCUACAAUCAUCAACAAAUCACACAAUAUACCAAAUGACUUUUUUACAGUAUAAUAUACCAUUAGUAGUCUCAUAGAGGUCAGCUAAGAUAACCCCAACCCAAACUACUUGUAUACAACUAGCGACAUGAAAUUAAUGUUAUCUCCAAAGUCACAUAAAGCCUGUGAAAAUUUAAAAGACCCAAUAGUAUAAGAAAUAGUGAAAACUCCUGGAUCCUGUUCCAUUCCAUCUCGGUCUCAAUUUAAUUAGUUAAUAGUGAUAGCUUAAAAUUAAUGUUGUGAUAUCCUUUGCUUGAUUUCUACCUCUAUCUAAAGGAAGUAUUGAAUAUUGGAAAAUUCCUAAUUUUUCCAUUCAUUAAGAAAACAACCAAAGUGAAGGAAAUCACAAUACAUGAAAGAACACCAUUCUAUAAUGACUUUGCACUUAGCUUGCUUAUAAUUCAUUAGGUUCCCUACAAAUUUAGUUAUGGGAUUUAGCUACUAAUGAUUGUAAGAAAAAACAUAGAUUUCAUAGAUAAAAGCAUAAUGACGAAGUUAUGACGAAAAACAAUGAAACAUAAAAUAUCAAAUUAAUUGUUAAACCUAAAACCCAAGAACAAUAAUCCGAAAAUCAAUAAUGUAUCUCAUAAAUAAAAAUAAUGUAAAAACUAUAUAAAGUGCAUCAACGGGUAAUAAAAGAUCUAAAGUGUAUUAAUACAUACAAAAUAAAACCUAACCUAAAAAGUGUAGAGAAACAUAUUCAGUAUUAACUCACAAUAUGUGGGUGGAGUUGAGGGUACAACCCUCGAACCUUGUAUUCGAAUCAUGGAAAUUAGAAUACCUUUUACUCUCUAGAUCAUCAACUCAAGACUACACCAUACAAGUCGUAUGUAGACUAGUGGAAAUCAGGUACAACAUCCAUAUUUAGAGCUUCUACCUACUAAUGCUACUUACGAAUCACAAGUACUGCCAACAAGUCAUAGGUUGACUCUUGGGUAGCUCUUUCAUCAACUAUUAGUCCUAUUUUCUUAGUAUUUGCUAUGAUUUCUGUUUUUCUACAAAAUUAUCACAAAUGCACAUCAUAUCUAACAUAAAAACAUUAAAAGUUCCAUAAAAUCACGGAACAUCAAAAACCCCAAAAACGAAUAACUAAAUUCCUGAAUAAUUACCUUGUUUUAAGCAUUAAAAGUUCCAUAAAAUCACGGAACAUCAAAAACCCCAAAAACCACCACCAUCACUAUCACCAUCAAUAAUUAUAUCACAUAAAAACAACAAAUAUGCCCAACUAGAUUGACCUGAGGUGGAUUUAUGCACCUCACUAUUUUAUCCUAGCUUAUUUGGCCUUGUUCUGAAUACAAGUUGCAUGCUUAAUGUGUUAAUGAUGAUAUAAUUGAGUAUAUAAGUAUUUAAGUACUGAAUUACAAUUUUUAAGGGGUUUUCCAAACAAUUUUGUACUUAAUUUGGUUACUUGGAGUUCAAAUAAGAAAACUAGUGUCACUAGCUUGAGUUAGGUGUUGUUCUAGUUGAUCUCGAUGGAUUCUAGUGUGUGAUGAAUUCCUAUCAUUAUUAUUGUGUAAUUAUGUUUUGAAUAAUGUUUUUAUAUUUUCAAAAUUUCAAUUGAAUCAAGAUUAGAGUCAAACCAGAAGUUAACAAUCAAAAUGGGCAAAACUAGUUCUUAGCUUAUGUUUCUAGUUCACCAUUAUGGAUUGUGUAAUGAUUGAGCUCUUAUACAUCUUGUUUUAUGAAAUAAUGUGAUUUUUUAGUUGAUUAUGAUGUUAUAUAUAUAAUGAUAAAUCUUAAAAUCUAGUGUAAAUAACACAACAAGAAUUGGGAUUGAAGGAUAAAUGCUUAAGACAAGUUUAGAUGCCAAAAGGUGAAUUCCGGUGAGGGUAUGGGAAUAGACUCAUGGCACAACCCCUAAUCCCUUUGAAUGAACCUUGUGUCACAACCCCUACUCACAUAGAUGACCCUCACAAUGCGGAGGUGAUUCCCAACACAUAAAAAAUUUCCCUCCAAUAUAUUGGACACUUAAACUUAAUGUUAAACACCUUCAACUACCUAGAAACUUGGAGAGGGUCUGUAAGAUACUUCAAUUAAGGUUUUCUUUAUUUAAUUUAAUUUUUAAGGUAUAUUAAAAUGUACUAAUUUAUGUUGAUUACAGUUAUUUCCUUUAGUGGCUAAAAGCACCCUUUCCGGGGUUAAGGCCAAGAAUAUGAUUACUAUUUUUUUAAUUAAUUUGGUUUUGAUUGAUUAUCAUAUUUGGUUUUUUAUUUAUCCUUGUUAUGACUAUUUUAAGGAUUUUCUAUACUUAGAAUACAUUCAUUAUUGUCUUUAUAAACUCGGUAGGGGGAGUAAGAGGAUAGAACAUAGGGGUAAAAUAAGCAAGGUUCUUAUUCUUUUAUAAAAUAUGGGAUUUGAAUUAGAAUCAAGGACAAGGAUACAUUUAGAAGCCUUGUUUGGUUCACUUUCAGAGUGAAAUAUUAAUGCAUAUAAUUAUAUUAUUCCAUCCCCGUUAAACGAUGUAGUUGUAAUGUUUAGUUAGGUGAAAGAUUAGAUGUCCAAAGACCAUGAUCAUAUGAUAAGCCCUGCAAAUAAAAACCUAAGAUAAGUAAACUAACAAACGAAUCUCAAUAGCUUAGUCUGAAUGUUUGCAUUAUUUUAACCUCAUGUUUCUCUUUAUUAACUAACCAAGCUCAAUUUACUUUUACACAUUAUUUACUUUAUUUUUAGAUUAUACUUCAAAAACACUUUUGGUUACAUUUGCACUGAUUAAUCUUAAUAGUUAAACUAGAAUUGGGUAGUUGCUUAACACUAGAGCUAGUGAGAUCAAUAUUCAGAUAUAUUUAAGGGAAAUUUACUACUUGAUGACACCACUUACACUUAUGUGUGCGCUUGGGUGCAUCAAGUUUUUUCACCGUUGCUAGGGACUUGUAAAUUGGCAACUAUUUUAGUUUUAGUUUUACUUUUUAGAUUUCUUUGAUGCUUUAUGCUUGGUCUAGGUAUUGAAUUCUUAGGAAAUAUGUUUACAAACUAGUUAGCUAGCAAGAGAUAGGGAAUUGGUUCAAUAAAGCCCCAAACCUAAACAACGAUUUCACUAAUUGAGAAGAGACACAGUCCUUCUCCACGGUAUCCUGCAAAUUCAAGAGGAGCAAGACAAUCCUGCUCUCAUAGAUGAAGAUAUACCUGCCCGUAGGAUAAUUUGUGAAAUGACAAUCCUAGUUUUGAUGAAUUUAACUUUGAGCUGAAAUGAAACAUAAUACAACUUUCGAUUAGCAGUGGACAGUUUAUGGGGCUUUCACAUGAAGAUCCACAAGUCCACCUAUGGAAUUUCUUGAAGAUCAGUGAGACAUUCAUCCCUAUGAGUGUGUCAACUGACUAUGUUAGGCAGACACUUUUUCCCUUUUCACUAUUGGGGAAGCAAAAAAGUUAUUGAACAGUGAUACAGUAAGCUCAAUCACAACCUAGGAUGACUUAGCGCAGAAAUUCCUCAUCGAAUUCUUUCAAUUUGACAAGACUAUGAGACUGCACAGUGAGAUUGUGAACUUUAAGUAGAAGUCAGAUAAGAACUUAUAUCAUGCAUUGGAGAGGUUCAAAGAUCUUCUUCAGGACUGUCCAUAUCAUCAACAUUCUAAUGAGAUACUAGCGCACACCUUUGUUGAGGCACUUGACCACAACAUGAAAAUUUUUCUAUAUUCAGAUACAGGUGGUCAAGCAUCAGAUUGAGGUAUAAUGAGCUAUCCAUAUUGUUAAACUAGAAUGCAUAAGGGAAUCCUGAGUGGCAUACUGACUCGAUUAGUGCUCCAAAGAAAGUUACAGGUGUUUGAGUUGGACCCGUUUACUUCUAUAUUGACUUAGAGUGUUGCAUUACAAAAUUAGUUAACUACUCAACUCAACAAUAUAAUAUUUGGGGUUACACUGCCUAUAGCAACAACUAAUAUAAUCCAUUAGAAGAAUACUUGGUGUGGGGUUUGUCUCAAUAGUUGUCAUUCUGCAGCCAUGUGUGGUGCAAAUCCUAAGUCAGUGAUGUUUAUGGGCAAUGAUCAAAGGCCAAAUUAUGUUAAUACCUAUUAUUAGAAGUGGAAGGCUCAACCACCAAUUCAAUCAUGGAAUACCGAACAAUAGUAGUCUUAGCAACAAAUUUAACGGAAUCAAAGCACGACUCAAACUUAACUUUGUAAGUGACCACAUCCAACAAGAAUAGUUGGCAACAAAUAUGAGGAGCCAACAAAUGGAUACAAAGAACUUAGAGAUACAGACUGAGCAAAUGAAGGAGGAACAAAUUGUCAAGCCUUAAGGUGGUUUUCCAAGUGAUACAUAACCAAAUCCUAAACAAGUAAUGACAACCACUUUGUGGACUGGUAAAGAUCUAAAUUAAUAACAUCAAAAUACAAAUAAGGAGGUAGAUGCAGGGUUGAUUUCUCCACAAGUAGAUGAGAAAGUUGUUAAAAAUCUGAGGAAGUCUGAGUACUUGAAAACCAAAGUUGCUGAACAGGUGAAGGAGAUACCAAUACUACCUUUCACACAAAGGCUUAGAAAAGCAAAGGAGGAUAUGUGAUUCAAGAUGUUCUUUGACACUUUUAAAAAGAUCCACAUUAACUUCUCUCUUUAAGAUAUUUGGCAGGGAAUACCCAAGAAUGCUAUGUACUUGAUGGAUGUGGUCACUAACAAGGUUGAGUUACAAGAUGUUGAGAUAGUAGCACUUAUUGAGGAGUUUAGUUAUGUGGUGAUACAGAAAAAUCCCAAAAACUCAAAGACCCUAGGAGUUUUAUGCUUCUUAUUCAAAUUGGAAGUAGUGAGGUGUCUACACACUUAGUGAUUUGGAGACAAACAUCAAUUUGAUGCCCCUAUCCUUGUUCACUAAUUUGGGAUUUGGAAAGCCGAGACCAAGCUCUAUGAUACUCCAACUGGUAGAUCGGACCCUAGACCUUCCUGAAGGACUCAAAGAGGAUGUUCUUAUACAUAUUGGUAAGUUUAUUAUUCUUGCUAAUUUUAUUGUUUUAGAUUAUCAAGAAGAUGGAAGAGUGCCAGUAAAUUUGGGAUAUCCAUUCUUGGUGAUAAGAGGAGCAUUGAUAGAUGUUACAGAGAAGGUGGUCUUAAAGUGUAAAAUCCACUCAACACACUAUCCCACUAAAAAGUUUUGUGCAUGAUUACAAUGAUUGAAGGGGAUAAGUGUUGAAUGGUGGAGUCUAGUCUAACAAGGACUUCUUUGGACUUCCUUAUUGAAUUGACUAAGACACAGCCACCCCAACCCAAAUUGAUGGAGAUUGAUGAUCCUAAAUAUGCUAUAAUUUAGAGAGUCUUUCACCUUAAGAGUUCACACUCAAAAGGUAAAAAAUGAAUAAGAAGAUGAUCUCUAAGUAGGAGGAAGAGGAUGAAGUAAAAUGAUUAAGUCGAAGAUUGGGUCGUCUUGCGAUACUAAAUCAGAUAUUGCUUUGGAGGCAACCCAAGUUAAGGUAUGUUUUAAUUUAAGCAUUUUAAUUUUUACCUCACUAGUUUUUUAUUUUGUUUAAGUCACAGGAUUAUUGAAAUUCUUCGUAUUGUAAAACCUUAGCUAAGGAACAUGGAAAAGACUAAGUGUGAGGUACCAGACCCUCUUAAUGUAAGAAGAUGCUACUAUCUUGGCGUAGAGGUUUCAUGGAGUAUUUCUAUCACUAUUUUUAAAGUAUACUUUAGGGACAUAUAGAUUUUAAGUGUGGGGUAGGAAAAUUCCAAUUUUUAUGAGUAAUUUUAAAAUUUUUUUUAGGAAUAAGUAAGAUAUUCUUGUUUAUGCCCUAUAUAAUUACAUAAUUCAAAUGUUUGGUUGUAAAAUCAUGUCGAUUGCUUUAAUUACUACUUUUGAGACUCGUAGGCUCAUGAGUUUGACUUUUGUACUUAUUGUCUUACUGAUUGAAUUCAUGUAAAUGUUUGGUUGAGAGGCUAUGAGUAAUCUACUUGAGUUUUGUACGUACAAUGUGUGUGUGAGGAGUAUGUAUAUUCCUUGUUAUAUGUGAUGUCUAGAACUUGCUUGGUCUAUGUGCAAAGCUAAAUAAAGAUUGUGGGUUUAGAAGAUAAUAUAGGCAUUUCUCUGAUAGCUAUGUUCUUACCCUUUUUUUGACCUACCAUUGUACAUAAUUCUAGUUAGCUCCAUUGAUCCUUCAGGUUAUUUCCUUUGGCAGCCUCAUAUGUAGCCUGUAUCCUCUUCUUUGAUGGACCUUAAUUUGAUCCAAGGCUCCUAAGUACUUUAGUGUAAAAUUAAUUGAGUUAAAGAGUUUUAAGUUCAAGUAGGAUAAAUAUGACAAUUGAUGUGUUGUGGUUGGAAGUUGAAGAAAAAAAUGCUAAAAUAAUUCUCAUUUUUAGCCCAUUUGUGUUACAAUAAACCUGUUUUUGCCAUGAUCAUCCUUGACAUUAUGCUACUCAACUAAGGAAAAUCACUUAAGUUAAGAGUGGCUAUCAUAGGGGUGCAUAAUGUAAAGUGGGUGUGAAGAAGGGUAAGAUUGAAUCAUGAAUUAAUAGACAAUACUUCCUCCAUAGUGUAUGUGAAUAAGCUUAAUGAGAUAGGGCCAAAAAAUAUAGUGGUAUAUAGAAGUGGUGGAAAGUGGUUCUUAAAGGAGAAUUGAAUGAAAAGUGUGAUGUAUUAAAGCUCUUAGGGAAGAUAGUCACUAUUCCUGAUCAAAAUAGUACCUGCCCGUCCCUUAUCCUACAUUACAACCUUAGAAGACCUAUUUUAUUCAAUGAUUCAUCAUUCUGAUAUUAGUAGAGUAUUAAACUAUGGACACACCUAUGGUUCAUCAUGUAUAACUUAUGAAUUCUUAGGGAGAGUGAGUGUAAUUUGAUUCUUUUGCCCAUUCUUAUAUAAAUAACAUUAAUAUAAGUGAUUAUGGGUAACUCUUUCUUAGUGAAGGCACAUGUUUGAUGAUAGUUGGAUGAUUUGUGUGAUGUCUUUGAUUGAGAAAUAUGAAUGAGUUUUCCAACUAGGUGAGUUAAUUCUUAAGAAUAGGAUGUUUUGGAGUAGUAUUCUUGAACUUUAAAUUGUGUAAAUAACAUGCUUAGUGAAGAAACUUGCAAUUUGUGUAGUCUUUGUAGUACUAGCUUGAGUAUAUUGCUUAUAGUAGAAGUAUGGAGUCUCCUUUGCUUGUGAUGCUUAGAGUAAAGAGUUGUUAAACGAUGAACAAGGCUUUAAGUGUGGGGUAGUGAUCUAAGGUGGAUUUAUGCAUCUCGAUGUUUUAUCCUAGCUUAUUUGGCCUUGUUUUAAGGACAAUAUGCACGCUUAAUGUGUUAAUGUUGAUAUAAUUGGGCAUCUAAGUGUUUAAUUACUUAAUUACAAUAUUUAAGUUGUUUUAGAAAACUAGUGUAACUUGCUUGAUCUUAGUGUUGUUCUAGUUGAUCUCAAUGGAUUAUAGUGAGUGUAAAGAGUUCCUAAGAUUAUUAUUGUGUAAUUAAGUGUGGAACAACUUCUUUAUUGUUUUCAAGGUUCAAUUAACUCAAGCUUAUAGUCGAAUCAGAAGUCAAAGAUCAAAUUGGGCAAAACUAGUUCUUAGCUUAAGGUUCUAGUUCACUAUUAUGGAUUGUGUGUUUUUUUGAGCUCUAAUCCCUGGUGUUUGAUGAAAUAGGAUGCUGGGUGAGUUGAUUAUGAUGAUAAAUGGAUGAUGAAAAAGCUAGAAAUCUAGUGGAAAUAACACCACAAGGUUUGGGACUAAAGGAUACAUGUUUAAUACAAGUUUGGACAUCAAAAGGUGAAUUCCAUUGAUGGUAUGGGAAUAGCCUCGCAGUACAACUACACCCAUGGACUGACCCUUUUAACGAUGAUUUUCAACAUGGAAAAAAUUUCCUUUCUAUAAAUAAGACACUUAAAAUUGAUGAUAAAAACCUUGGACGACUUUGAAACUUGAAGAAGGGCUGUAAGUCACUUCAAUUAGGGUUUUUCUUUCUUUCUUUUAGUCUUUUAAUGGAUUUUAUCAUGUAUUCAUUUAUCUUGAUUACAGUAAUGUCCAUUAGUAGCUAAAACCCCCCUUUUCAAGGUUAUGUCCAAGACCAUGAUUACUAUUGCUUUGAGUUGAUUUAGUUUUGAUUGCUUAUCGUAUUUAGUUACUAAUUUAUCCUUGUUAUAUAUUUUAAGGAUUCACAACCCUUAGAAUACAUUCAUUGUGUUAUUUGUGUACUAGGGAGGGUGAAUUAGAGGAUAGAACGUAGGGUAAAUAGAGCAAGGUUCUUAUUCUUUUAUAAAAUAAGGGUUUUGAAUUAGCAUUUAGGAUAGGGAUAUACCUGGAAGCCUUAUUAUGUUCACUUCUAGGAUGACUUCUUAAUUCAUCUAAAUAGAUUAUUGCAUCCCUGCUCAAUGAUGUAGUUGUAAUGUCCAUUUAGGUAGAAGAUUAGAGGUCAGGAGACUAUUAUCGUACGACAAAUCCUGCGAAUCAAGAACUAAGAUAAGUAUUCUAACCAAGAAAGUUCAAUAGCUUAAUUUGAAUGUUCGCAGUGCUUUAACCCCCAGUUUCUCUUUAUUGAUUUCCCAAUUUCACUUUACUUUUAUGCAUUAUUUACUUUGCUUUUAUUUUAUAUUUCAAAAACACUUUUAAUUAUGUUUGCAUGGAUUAAUAUCAACAGUUAAACUAGAAUUGGAUAGUUGCUUGACACUAGUCCCUGUGGGAUUGAUAAUCGACUUUAUUUAAGGUCACUUUACUACUUGGUAAGACCAGGUACACUUGUGAGUGCGCUUGGAAGAAACGUAGAUCACAACCUUCACGCUAUAAAGUUUAUCAUAAUAAUGACCAUAAGUACACAAUUAAUAAUAUAAAGAACCUAUGCGCACUCUAUAUAUACUAAUGGUUAAUCAACACAUAAUCUUCAAUGUUUUCAAAGGUCUCUGAAAAGUAUUCUAACUUUACCUCAGUUACCACAACAUUAUGAAUGGUUUUUGAACAUGAAAAAGUCCAACAUAUACAAAAAUUAUAUAUCAAUUAUUAAAUCAAUUCUAUAUGCACAUAUUAAAAGGACUUAUGUUAGCCCAAAAUUCAUGACCAAUGGGGUACAGGAUUGCCAAUGUAUGGUAUUCGCAUGGUAUACGACCAUCUACAAUAUCAAUAAGUAUGUAAUUUUGACUAGUACAUUACUCUACCAUUAGAAUAUCACUAUAUAAUAAAAUGCAAUUAUUAUCAUUCAAGAUUUAACAUAGUGCACCAAUAGUUCAAGUACAUGAUUUAUCAUCACAAAAGACUUAGUCAAAUUCAUGUUAUUUAUCUCAUGCAUAUAAUAAAUAUCUUAAAGAUUACUAAUCACAAGAAUGUGUGAUGAGUAAUUCACAAACACCCAAGUUACAAAUAGUCAAGGAUUCUAAAUCAAGUAUAAAACUACCAUAGAACAUAUAUAAAUCCAUUAACGUAGCUGACCUCCUAAAUGUGUAUCAUGUCAGGUUUACUUCGUUACUAACUAAUGAUAGUAAUGUAUAAUGGCAUAUAUUGAUUGACAAACACUAUUUCCUAGUCAAAUAUUUCAUAAACUAUAUUCAUUAAUUUACUUUAUUUAUCAAGACAUUCCUAAAUAAUAUUCAGUAAUAAGACCAUGCAAGCAUAAUGAUCACCAUGUCUAUUACGAUUCUUUACAAGGUUAUUAAGCCAUUUUUAGAGAUAUAUGUUUGCAUCUUCUACUAUCACCUUCCAAGUUACAUCCUUCAUAUAGUAAUCAAAUAGGGGCAUCAUAAAAUGUUAAUUAUCCUACAAGGAAAAUGUAAAUAAGCUCUUUAGAAUAGAAUUUAUCUAUUUCUACAUAUUAUUUUAACAAAUAUACAUCAAAUCUCCAUACCUAUAGGCAUAAGAAUGAAUUCUCCCUAAGUUAUCUCUAUGGUUUCUCCUUCUAUCAUAUCAUCUCUUUCUCUCCCCACUCUUUUCUUCUUGCAAGAAACUAUUUUUCCACCAUAUAUGACCAUAUUAGAGAAUUUCUCUCUCUUUACUUUUUCUUCUUUGUUUACAAAUUGAUAAUGCCCAUAGAAAGAUAAAGCAGUUGUUGUCAAAUUACAAGAAACCAAAUAGGUUAGGGUUGAUCCCAUACGAAAAAUGUUAGAAAUCCUCUUUGAACUUAUUAAAAUCACCAGGCAGUGCGGAAAAGUAAAAAGCGGGGAUUUGCUAAAAUAGUAAAAGCGAAAAGAAUUGGCUACUUUUGGUUGUAAAUUAUCUAAGACGAACACUAGGCUUGUAUUCCCCUUGGAUUUUCAACUCUGCAAAUUUAUCGUACACUUUCAAACUAUUUCGAUACCUUACUUGCAAAAUCUGAUAAUUUAUCUACCAUCAACUAUCUUAUGGAUCUUUGACGGAUCUCACCCUUUACCUUUUGAGUCUUAGGGUGUUUCCUUACUAAUCCUUAUCCUGGAUCAUAGUUUAACCAUUAACUUUUGAGUCUCAAGUUAUUGAAUAAAACUCAAAGUACAAAAUUGAAUUAUCAAACAAAAUUAAUAACAAAGCAAUAUCAAGAUCAAAGUCCUAAAUUGAACAACUAACAAUUAAUAAUAAGAGUAUAUGGUAGCUCCCAAGGUCCUAGCUCUCAAAAUGUAGCCCCUUUAGAAUACCUCUCGAUAACUAAACAAAGUCUAAAGGGUAUUUAUAGAUUACAAGAAACCCUAGAAAUCUAAUAUGAAACAAAAAAGGAAAACUUGACGAAAGGUGCAUAAUAUAGACUAAAAACAUCUUAGGAGUGUAUGUAGGUUAUACAGAAAUCCUAGGAAACUAUUUUGAAAUAAUCCAGAAAAGUUGAAGUCGGUAACCACAUAUUAAGAUCAUAUGCAGACCGUAUGUACCAUAUAUGGACCGUAUGUGGUCCUUUGUAAGUGACAAACUUUAUUUUUUUUGCUCCUAAGCCUCUAGACUUGGACCUCUCAAACAUACAUUGGUCACAUACGGACCGUAUGUACCACAUAAGGACCAUAUAUGCCCUUAGUAAGAGACAAAGUCUUCUUUUUCCUUCUUCUAAGCCUCUGAACUUCAAGUUCUUGCACCUACUUAGGUCCCCUAUUCUCGGUAUGUGGAACAUAUUCCCUAGCCAAAAUCUUAAAUUUUCAUCUUUUUCUUACAUCUAUUAUAAAACACCAUCUUUUUCUUCCAUUUAGCAUCCAAACCCUGGUAUCAGAAAAAUUACUCCAAAAACACAUCAAAUCGAACAAAAUAGCCAUAACUACAAGAAUAUUCUCCAAAUUUAAGCAUAAUAAGUUCUAUAAAUUAAUAGCACAUCAAGACCCUCACUUUAGAAUGUUCACUUCCUCAUGAAACAAAAACACAACACAAUAUACAAUGAUGCUUAACUAAGAGAAACCUAAGAUAUAUAUGUCAGUCAAUUAUAAAACAAAAGCUCAAGGUCAUUACCCUUCCCCCCUAUUUCAACAAUUCAAAGCCAACUUUGUGUAUCAAUGAAGCACAACCAUGUGACACAAAGGAAUCAACCUUUGGCAUUACAUAAGCAACAGAUAAUCAUGCAUAUAUACAAGUUAAACUACCCAAACAAGUAAGUGGCUAGUAAUACAACCCAUGUGCCCUCAUAACAAGAAAGUCCAGUGACUCAUACAAAAUCAUGCAUGUCAAUGUCAGAAUAGUCAAGAAAUACUCACACUUACAAGUGAAAUUCAAAUCAUGCGCAUCAAAUACCAUAGGCUUGACUUUAUUUUCUCUACCUUAGUUUUUAGACAGUAAAUUUAGGAUUACUAUAGGACUUUAUUUAGUUUGUAAUUUAGGCUUGGGCGCUAGUAUGGUACACAUUGAUAUGUCAAGUGACUAAGCCUCCAUAGAACUACACUAAUGUUGGGGUCCACUUAUCAUAUAAUUUCUUAUUAUUCCACCCUUCUUUCUCCCUUUUAUUCUCUCACACAUAUUUAGGUUAGGUGUGCUUUCUUUUAUUCAUUAUUUUUCUUUUUCUUUUUUUCACAUUUUCUUCUCUUUUUUUCCUUUUCUACCACACCCUGUCCUACUUUCUUUUCACUAAUUUUGCCCUUUUUUCUACCCAUUUUACAUUACACACUCCUAUGUUAGCCACUCUCAGCUUAGGAAAUUUUCCUGAGUUUAGGUGCAUAAAGUCCAAGGAGGACCAAGGAGAAAACAGGCUUAUUGUACCAAAAAUUGUAAGGUGAAAGGUUAAAAUAAAAAAAUAGGCUACAUAGUUAUUAAAUGGGAUCAAGGGAUACUAUUUCACAUUGGAUAGGUCAGUUUUACGAAAAAUGAAUAGAUAUCUAAAAUAAACUAUGAUCAUUUCCUAACUGACUAUCCUAUGACCUAGGCAAGGCUAAUCAGACAUGUUCUAGAUUGAACAAACAAAGGAAACCAAGUAGUAUCUCACACAUAUAUGGCACGGUGUCACAUCACAAGCUACUACCUAUCCAGUUCAUACAAUUGUUAGCUAUGAUUAUUUUGUUCGUUAUCCUAAUUCUAUAUUAAUAUCCAUAAUAGUCAUACAUAUAUACCUUUAUACAGUUCUAAAGCACAAAUUUGAAAAGGGAUAUCAAUUUUCAACACUUUAUGUCAAUAGAAACAAUGCCAACUUCCCUACAUACUUAUUUUCUCCUAUUUAAACAUAAAAAAAUAUAAAAGAAAUCAUAGUAUGCCUAAAUAUGCCUAAUCUACUAGGAACAGGACUCUGGAGAAAAGAGGCACAACAAUAAAAUACCCAAGACGACAUCAAAACCCACAAGCAGCCCCACCCUCAACUUGGAUUCAUGCAAUAUUCCAGAUGAAUUAGACCACUAUAAAUAAGAGAGUUAGGAAUAUACCUACGACAUCAUUGGUUCAAUGAUCUGUCAACAAUUAAAUUAACACAUACAAAGAAUAAUACACCUUGGAAUUCCUCCCAAAUAAUACCUGAUUUAAUGUUGUGACAUGAUGUGGCUGUGUUGGUUACCCAAACUUUACUAACAAAGCUGAUGAGUACCUUGAUUACCAAAUUUCUAUCAAGGUAUCCCAAGAGUUCACCUCUAGUUUUCUCUUUCUUUUUAAAAGUAUGAAUUUCACCCAUAUCAUUUUUUUAUUUUCUAUUAUGCUUAUGGGGCCAAGGUAUAUAAAUAAAGAACCCAAGAAAAAGACGUUGUAUAUUGUACUUCUUUUCCCUUAUGUAGGGAAUGUAAUUCUUUGAUUCUAGUUCAGGAAAUUCAAGAAUGUAUACUUAUUUUUCCUCUUUCUUACACUCUUCCUUGGGUUUAGAAAACUCGAUUAAGACCUAGCUAUCUAAAUGAAAUAUGGAAAAAUACUUUGAAUAAGGUCUAAUAUUCCCCAACUUAGGAAUUGCGUUCUUCUUUACAUCUCCAUGUAACUCUAGUAUGCUCUUCUUAAGAGUGACAUGAUAUGCUAUGAAUUUAUGGCACUUUUGAUGCUUAAAACAAUAAAAAUAUGCAUGAUUCUUAGGUUGUUUUAUUAGAUAUGAUGUGUUUUAGGUAAGUUUUGUAUGAAAAGAGAUUUUGGAUGCUAAGAUCAAAAAAAGAUGUUAAAUAAAGUUUUUUGAUACUUGAUUGAGAAUUUUUUUAGGUAUGUGGCACUUAUUUUAUGUGUGCGACUAAAGCAAGUACUAGAAUUUGAAGUAUUAAGGCUUGGUUGAUGUAAUUUAAAGACUUUGGCACUUACCUAAGUCCAUUUGUGGACAACAUAUAGUACCGGUGGAUCAUAUAUGUCUAAGGUAAGUCCUAGGAUCCAAGAUCCACUGGGUCCACCUACAGACUAUAUGUAGUACAUACUAGUUGUAUGUUUCCCAAUUAAGUGGUUGCCAACUUUGUUUUACCUUUUUUAUUUGGGAUUUUAUUUAUAAGGUUUCGUAAUGUACUAUAAAUACCCUUUUGUAUUUAUUAGUAGAAAUUAUGCUCUUUGAUGUAUGUUUAUGCUUUUUAACAUAUUGUGAUCCUUGAAUUCUUUAAGGGUGAUUUUAGUUAAUAAUUUAGUAUCUGACUUUGGGGUUUGAUAAUUGGUUAUUGUGUUGUUACUUUAAUAUUUUCCAUCAUGAAAGGCAUUUGUAGUUUCACAAGCAUGAGUGGCAAAAAACCUUAGCCAUGGUUGUGGAAAUCCUAGCAGAUUGAUGAAGUAGGUAAAGUAUAAAGCUAUUCUGAAUUAGUACCCAUGCAUGUAUUGUUUUAUAUUUGUUUUAAUAAUUGUCUUAGUUAUUGCGAAUGCUAGGAUCAUACCUAAUUGUUCUUAUUCACUCAAAAAGGGGAGUAGGGACUAGGAAAAGAUCAUGACAACAUUAAUUUGGAUUUAAUUAGUGAAACAAGCUUACUAGUAUUAUCUUCUUAGGCCAAUUAGUUUCAUCUAAUAACUUGAGACCCACAAGGUAAUAGUUAACUGGGACAUAGAAUAAGGGUUAAUAAAGAGACUCGUUGAUACUCAAAAGGUAAAGGGUGAAAUCCAUCAAUGAUUCCACAAGACAAUCGAUGGUACAUAACUUAUGAGAUUUUGCACGAAAGGUACUAAGUUCAUUUAGUUGAGCAUAAAAAUCUAUGGAUUCAAGAUGCUAGGGGGAACAUAAACCCAGUGUUCGUCUCCUACUUAUUUCAAGAAAAAUAAGCAACUAGUUACUUACUAUUACUUCAAACAUCCAGUCCCCUAUUUACUUUAAUCAUUUACUCAUUGAUUCCCGCAGAAGAGAGAUACGGUACUUUUAGUCCCUAUUGGUAUAACCCCAACCUUAGUUGGGUUACUAUACUGACUGCGACCACUUUAGUCUCAAUUUGACGGUGUAGUUUAGGCGUGGAUUAAAAUUUUGGAAUCGUUGUUGGAAAACUGUUGUGGUGAGUUGAUUGAAGUUGCUGAAGUUUGUGGGUUUAGAUUGUUGUUGUUAGUUUGGUAUACACCAAUGUAUGCCUACAACCAAGAGUUUAGGAAAUCCCUUACUCCAUUUAAAUAUUAAUCCACAGAGAAUCCUACAACCGACGAGUAAGAUGAUAGAGCCUAAGAGAGAUGACAUUCCUAAAGAGGUUCAUGAUGAUACACGCUAGGUGCCUCCCCCUCCUCAACACAAAGUUUAGGAAAUUAUUGAUUGAUAGAUAGAGAAGUUUUUAGGACAAGCUUCUAAUAAGAGAAGUGAUGAAGAUGCUCAGUGUAGAGCUCAAAAUGCAGAGCUAGAUGAUUAGAGACAAGAAGCAGAUCAAUGAGCAACACUCUGUGGUAAUAAGAAUAGAUUAGAGGUUGUAGAUCUUAAGUGAUCCCAUCUUACCAGUAUUUAUAUUUAUAUAAAAAUGAUGAUGAGGUCUUGGGAUAUGUUAACCUGGCAAAAAUAGGAUCUAUUGUUCCUCAUAGUUUCCCCCCAUGUGUUAAGUUUGAUAUAACUAUUACCAUGAUCAAGCUCUUGAACUUGAAGGGUGUAUUUGUGAGUUUGCCUACUAAUAAUUGAAAUAUGCACCUUGCAAAUUUCAUUAGGAUCUGUAGUUCUUAUAAAAAUCAAGGGGUCAAUAAGGAGGCACUUAGAUUGAGGUUUUCCCCUUAUGCAGAAAAUUUUUGAACUAGUUCUUCCUUCAUCUAGUAUAUUGCAUCUUAAUGAUGUGAUUUGUAAUUUUAGGCAGCUGUAAUCUCUGUCUAUGUCUGAGGCUGAUUUUAGGUUCAAUAAGAAGUAUAGUAUGGUUCCCAACCAUUAAAUUUUAGGGAUGAGCAUAUUGGUGAUAUUAUAUAAAGCCCUUACCAUAUGUUCUAGAGCUAUGGUGGACACAACCUAUAGAGUAUGUCUUUUGAUAAUACACCGAAAGGUAGCUUUUGACAUUCUAGACCAGACCUCUCUCACUAAUCGAAGGAGGAAAACUCAAGAUAUGGAAAGGGGUUCUGGCAGUUAUUCUGUUGGUCAAACUAGUGACUAGAGAGUAGCUGAUAAUUCUAUAGUGCAAGAGAUUUUAUUGCUGAGAACUUAUCUUGGGUUGUUAGCUAAGCAGUUUCUAACAAGAAAAUUAUAUAAGGUGAACAUUAUUGGGGCACAAGGUACAACUUCCAUAGCUUAUGAGUCUAAAUUUUAAAAAGAAGGCUAAUUAUCUAGAUUAUCAAUUGGCGAGUUUUCGAGUACAAGCGCAAGGAACUAAAGUCGGAACUAUUUUAGGGAUAGAUAUAGAGAUUGUAGUAAGGAGAGAGAUGUUGACUUGUGUAGAAGGGAUGACUAUAAAGUGAAGGGAGACAAGUACAUUCCACUUGGCCGUCAUGAUAAAGAAUAAAGAAUUGAAAUAAUGCUAACCAAACUAGCAAAGGAACAAGAGAUUCAAAAGGCUAUCCUUAAGGAAAUCAAAGAAGAUAUCUCAAGAUUGACAAAAAAUAUUGAGUCUCAUGCAACAACUAUCAACUAGUUAGAUCACUAUUUUGGGCAAAUACCAACCACUUUAAAUUAGAGACAUCCAGGGACUCUUUCAAUUAACACUGUUCAAAAUAAAAAAAAUAAUGGUUAUGUUCUUGUUAUUACCACUUGUAGUGGUAUAGCUAAUGUUGAUCCUGCUUUACCUUCUAUGAAAUUUCCAUGAAAUGAUGAGGCUGUUGUGGAUGAGACACUUAUAGUAGUGUCAGAAAAAUAAACAGGUAGUGAAUGUAAAUCUCAUAAGGAUAAAGGUAUAGAUGAGGUAAAGGAGACAGUAUAAAAUUCGAUCUCAUGAACACCCCUGCCUUUUUCUCAUUGGAUGAAAUAGAAAAUAGAGGAAGCAAAGUUCAAGAAGUUUAUUCAUAUGCUGAAAGACGUGAGCUUUAACAGAAACCAAAAAUAGUAGAAUUGCUGAAUUAGAAAAAGAAUUACAAAUGUUAAAAGAACUGUAUGAACAAAGACAAAAAGAAAAAGAAGAAAAAGAUAGAGAACAGAAAUUACUAAAUGAGAUAAAUCAAUUUAAGGAAAAAUUAGAAAUAAAAAAUGAAGAAUUAGAAAUAAAUAAUAUAGAUAUUGAAGAGACAGAUAAUUAUGAGUCCGAAGGUAGUGAAACAUACACAGAAAUAUUAAUAAAUAUGAAAAAUUUAGGAAUCAAUGAAGAACAAAAAAUUUAUGAGAAAAACUUAGAAGAUACCCAAGAAAUAAAUACUCUUGACAAAAAAGAAAAUGAAAAUAUAAUCCCUAAAACAACAGAAAUAAGAAAACCUAUAUAUUAUAAGAAUAAGUUUAAAAAAUAUAAUGAAUAUGAUAAAUGGAUACCAAAACAAAUAGUGAAUAAAAAUUAUAACUUUUUAGAUCUAGACUGUGUAAUAGAUACAGAAAAAACAAUACAAUUAUGGAUAGGAUAUAUGACAAAACAAUUAUUAGAUAAUAAUAUAAAUAUAACAGAUGCACCGGAAUAUAUAGAAAAAACACUAAUAGGAUCAGUAAAACUAUGGUUUGCAAAUCUAACCGAAAAUAGCAAAAAAGUAUUAAGAACUAAUAAACCUAUAGAAGGAACAUCAUCGACAACAACUAAACUAACACCUAUAGAAUUAUUA